AUGAAUCGUGUCCCAUAUGCUUCAGAUAUAAGAUCGAUUACAUGUGUUAUAUUCAUCCUUUUUAAAAUUUUCCAAAUGCCCGGGGCAUUAGGAAGGGAAAAGGUCUAGAACUGGAUAUAACUAAAAGGAUUAAACAAUUGUUGAGGACAANNNNNNNNNNNNNNNNNNNNNNNNNNNNNNNNNNNNNNNNNNNNNNNNNNNNNNNNNNNNNNNNNNNNNNNNNNNNNNNNNNNNNNNNNNNNNNNNNNNNNNNNNNNNNNNNNNNNNNNNNNNNNNNNNNNNNNNNNNNNNNNNNNNNNNNNNNNNNNNNNNNNNNNNNNNNNNNNNNNNNNNNNNNNNNNNNNNNNNNNNNNNNNNNNNNNNNNNNNNNNNNNNNNNNNNNNNNNNNNNNNNNNNNNNNNNNNNNNNNNNNNNNNNNNNNNNNNNNNNNNNNNNNNNNNNNNNNNNNNNNNNNNNNNNNNNNNNNNNNNNNNNNNNNNNNNNNNNNNNNNNNNNNNNNNNNNNNNNNNNNNNNNNNNNNNNNNNNNNNNNNNNNNNNNNNNNNNNNNNNNNNNNNNNNNNNNNNNNNNNNNNNNNNNNNNNNNNNNNNNNNNNNNNNNNNNNNNNNNNNNNNNNNNNNNNNNNNNNNNNNNNNNNNNNNNNNNNNNNNNNNNNNNNNNNNNNNNNNNNNNNNNNNNNNNNNNNNNNNNNNNNNNNNNNNNNNNNNNNNNNNNNNNNNNNNNNNNNNNNNNNNNNNNNNNNNNNNNNNNNNNNNNNNNNNNNNNNNNNNNNNNNNNNNNNNNNNNNNNNNNNNNNNNNNNNNNNNNNNNNNNNNNNNNNNNNNNNNNNNNNNNNNNNNNNNNNNNNNNNNNNNNNNNNNNNNNNNNNNNNNNNNNNNNNNNNNNNNNNNNNNNNNNNNNNNNNNNNNNNNNNNNNNNNNNNNNNNNNNNNNNNNNNNNNNNNNNNNNNNNNNNNNNNNNNNNNNNNNNNNNNNNNNNNNNNNNNNNNNNNNNNNNNNNNNNNNNNNNNNNNNNNNNNNNNNNNNNNNNNNNNNNNNNNNNNNNNNNNNNNNNNNNNNNNNNNNNNNNNNNNNNNNNNNNNNNNNNNNNNNNNNNNNNNNNNNNNNNNNNNNNNNNNNNNNNNNNNNNNNNNNNNNNNNNNNNNNNNNNNNUGUUACUAUGAGUUGGUUAUACAUUGAUUGCACGAAAACGCAUUACUAACUCGAUGUUACAAAAUGUGCCUUUGUGUAUGAUUCAACAAGUAGUUGAACAAUCCAUAUGAGUCGAAGUUUAUCCAUUCCUUUUACCAUCGGGAUAAAAGCGAUAUCUGUGGGCCCCUCGAUGAUUUGGUGAUGACAAAUGUAAGUGCUCGAUCGGGCCUGGACUGAUUUGAUUUGUGCAAUUAGUCAGUCGUCAUAAAUCGGAAAUCGGGAAACUACAAAUGGAUAGAGAGAAUGAUUAUAAUCCAUGUCUCAGUCCAUAUGAUAUCUAGAAUGGAGGAAUAUAUGAUCCCUUAUCUAAUGGACAAGUCAUUGACAAAUGUCAGAGUUCAUCGACAAGGUCAGAGUUCAACAGAAGCUUUUAAGAGCUACGAUUGUCAGUCGGUUCUUGAAGUCGUACACAAUAAUAGUUUUGGACUUAUCCAAGUGGGAGACUGUUGGAUUAAUGUCUAAGUCCGUAACUNGGAAAUCGGGAAACAACAAAUGGACAGAGAGAAUGAUUAUAAUCCAUGUCUCAGUCCAUAUGAUAUCUAGAAUGGAGGAAUAUAUGAUCCCUUAUCUAAUGGACAAGUCAUUGACAAAGGUCAGAGUUCAUCGACAAGGUCAGAGUUCAACAGAAGCUUUUAAGAGCUACGAUUGUCAGUCGGUUCUUGAAGUCGUACACAAUAAUAGUUUUGGACUUAUCCAAGUGGGAGACUGUUGGAUUAAUGUCUAAGUCCGUAACUGUAAUUGGUUAGACUUGACCCGACCCGGCAUGGUCCAUUUGGGUUGCAUGGCAUCAUGCAUUUGGAUAGUCUAAAAUGAGAGAAAUAACACUUAAGGUUUGUUAAUAUAUUAUAAGUUCUAAUAUAUUAAUAAGAUUAUUUAAUUAGUAUUGAUCAAGAAUUAAUCUAGGAUUAAUUAAGUGAUCAAAAGAAGACUAAUUAAAUAUAUGGUUUGAUUGUGUAAAUCAUCCAUACUUGUAUAGUGGGCUAGGACUCCAUGGAUUAUCAAGUUGGGCUAAAACCCAUAGGAUGCUCCAUGGAUGCUCCAUGGUGUAUUUGAACCCAUGGAUCCAAGGAAAUGGAAAGCCAUAACAAUUAGGGUUUACCCUAAUUGUGACACUAUAUAAAGAUCUUAUUAGUGACAAAAGCGGACACUACAAUAUGUGUGAGAAUGAAGGGCUAGCCGAUUUUAUGAAGUGUUCCAAUUUCUCUCAAGUCAUUCCAUUUGUAUUUGGUGUUGUGUGAACCAUUUGAGGUGUCACACUUGGGGCACUAGGCACUCAAGCUUCAUGAAGACUUUCUACAUCAAAGAGGUAUGUAAUUCUGAGUUGAUAUAUUCAUAUGAAUCAAUGUUAUUAUGCUAGUUAGGAUGAAUACCUUGGAAAGUUCAUAUCUGCAUUUAUAAUAGAGAAAACAUAGAUCCAAGGUAUUUAGGGUUGCAUGUACACUUAGGAGUGUUAGAAUGCUCAAAACCUAAUAGCUUUCGCAAGCACUUUUGAGCUUGGAUACACGAAAUGAUGCGAAGGUUCGUACUAGAUUUGUCGCCAUAGAUAAUUAGAGUUUCGUUGUUAGGGAGGUUAAGACGAAUUGCUUUCCAAAGCACAUGAUGCCGGUGCGACGAUGACUUAACCAAUCCAUUCCGAUUAUGACGUCGAAACUUUUAAUUGAGACCAGCAUGAGGUCUAUUUGGAAAGUAUGACCAUCUAGAGUUAGUGUACAACAAAAGUAUAUGCAUUUAGUACUUUCCAUUUUUUCGUUUUCCAUUUCUACCGUGAAUGAUUCCUCUAGUGCUCGUGGUUUUUGUUUAAGUAAGUGAACAAGUUUCUGGCUUAAGAAGCUUCUCUCUGCUCCACUAUUGAAUAGUAUACAUGCAUAUGAAUUAUCGAGGAGAAAUGUACCAGUAACUAUCGUAUGAUCAGCUACGGCUUCCUCGUGGCCUAUUGCCAGAAUCCUUCCCACUCUGCCGGCAUUCCCUGCCUUCGGGCAGUCUCUCUUGAAAUGACCAACCUCGCCACAACCGUAGCCAGCCUGGCCCGCACCUAUGCCGGGGACUUGGUUAAUUGGCCUUGUCGGAGCCUUGCAGAAUCGGGCAGUGUGUCCUUUUCUGUAGCAGUUAGCGCAUUGCAUUUCCCGGCAGGCACCAUUGUGAUGAAAAGUGCAUUUGUUGCACUUGGGAAAAUUGCCGGUAUACGGCUUCCUUGGCGCUGAAGUAGUAGGUACAAUCGCAACAUUAACAGCCAUCACUUGCUGCUUCUUGGCAGAGUUUUGUGUCGAUUUUCCCUUCCUGUUAUCCUAGAACUUCCGCUUGUUGUCAGCGGCUUUGGAGGGUUCUGAGGUAGCGAGGGUUGUUGUUGUUGUUGUCGAGGUAGAGACUCCGUGAUCAAUGAGUCUUUGUGCCAAUCGCUUGACACUAUCGAAAGUAGUGGGGUUUGAAGCUAAGACAUUCCCCUGAAAUGGAGGCGCUAGCCCCCAAAUGUACCUCUCAACCUUCUUCCCCUCAGUGGGAACCAUAUUGAGACACAAGGCCACCAGAUCGCUGAAUUUGGCAGUGUAAGCCACUAUGUUUGAGCCUUUCAUGGUCAGAAUCCAGAGUUCCUGUUCCAUCUUUUGAACCUCGCCCCUCGGGCAGUAUUCUUCAACCAUCAGCCCUUUAAGAGCUUCCAAACCCAUAGCAUUUUCCACUAUUAAGGUUAGUGACUUGACAUGGCUAUUCCACCAUGUCAGGGCCAUAUCACUGAAGGUGCAUGCAACAAAUUUUACUUUGCUUCCUUCAGUACAGGAACAGAUCUCAAAGAUCGAUUCCAUCUUUUCGAACCAUUACGACAGCGCAAUGACUCCUCUAAUCUCAUUGAAGGUUCAGGGCUUAUAGUUUGUGAAUUCUUUAUAAGUGCACUCUCGUGAGCGCACGACGACAUCAUCUUGCAUUGAAUGGACAACUGUUCCACCUCCACUAGUUCCCUGGUUGUUGUGGUAUUGUGCCAUGGCUGUAGCAACAGCCGCAGCUACUGCUGCAUUAAGGGUUGCCGUAUCAAAUUAUGAAGGAGGUGGUGAUGGAAUUGGAGUAAUCGGAGGAUUAUGCCUUGUUGACCUUCAGGGAGGCAUUUUUCAACUAUAAGUUUAAAAGAUGAGUAUAAUGAUAAGAAUUCAAUAGUGAAGUAAAUUAAUGAGUCCCAUGAACUAAAUCGCCAUAACUCAACAACUAGAUAAGAGUAUGAGUUCCAUAGAGUCCUAGAAUCACAUGAAUGAAUGUAUUUGUUGGGCUGAAGUUCUGUUUUGUAUUGCGUCUUUUGGGCUCGUAGAUUAGCCUUGUAUUCUCCGGUUUGGGCCUGUCCAACCGAGAGCCUUUUAUGUAUUGUAUAUAAGUUAUCGCUUGCAUGCAUAUUAGGUUAAGAUUCAAGAUUUCUGUUUUAGCGUUCCAGAGUUUACGAUAUUGCUCUCUUGUAAUCUUCCAAUCCUUUACAGUUGAUGUUCUUAAUCGAGCUCUUCUAAGGAUUUUAUUUAAUCAUUCGACACGUUUGAUUCAAGCUGUUUGUUCUAAUUAUUGCGUUCUGCCUUGUUAUUUAUAUUGAGUUCUUGCAGUUUCAUAUUCAUAUACUUGUUCACGAUCUAAUCGAUCUUUAUAGAUUAAAAGUUAUUGUUUUUUAAUCUCAUCAGUAUUUAAACAAAGAUUUCUACGAAAGAUUAGCUAACUGCCAAUAUCAUUGAUAUUAAGGGUGUAAUGAGUUUGGGGAAAAAUUGACCUAAGAGUAGGUCUUACAUCAUAUCUGAAGUAGCAAAACUUUGACAGCUUAGAAGUCUAGUUAAAGUACUUGAAUGACAGGAAUAUUUUUACAGACAAGUGCUACCUAGAGCACUGAUACGAAAGGCUAUUCCUUAAACCAAAAGAAAAUAUGAUUCAGACAUCUUCUACUGGCGACGGGAAUUCCUCAUGCGAGCCCUCAGAUCAUCCAGUUGACGUACUACGUCUUGAAGAUGUCACUCAUGAGCUCUCUGACGCACUCGAAGUUCUAUCACCUUAGCACGGGAUGCAACUAGCUGUUGCUGCAGAGUCUCAUUGAUUCUCCUAGUCCUUUCCAUAGCUUCUUCAAGAUGGACAAUCCGGACCGUGUUAACGCCCGAGUUAGCGUCAAUUUCCACGAUUUGGCCGAUUGCUGCUCUUCCUUGCUCUAUAGUCCGAGCAAUCCUGCCGACCAUAAUGGGCAGGACUCGGUCAGCAGAGCCUCCUUCGCUGAGAUUGUAAAAGCUUCAGUAUCCGAUGAAGGGUAAUGGUUGACCCUGCUCAUCACUCCAGUGAUUCAAGUUUGUUGCCCACAAGGGUAUGGGACCUUGAAAUGCAGGUCGGGGAUUGAGAUUUGGGUUCUGAACUACUUGAGGUAGGUUGGUGACUUCUGGUUCGGAGUCGGAACCAUCCGAAAAGCCUUAUGCGAGGUGAUCAUCCAAAGGGAUUGGAUGGUCAUCUUCUGGCUCGUCAUCCAGCCAUCCAGCAUUGCCCUGAUUUGGGAAGUACGGGUCUCCAGGGAUAUGGAAUCCAACCAUGAUAUCUACGCGAGAAAAGGGGUAUACGAAUUAAUUAAUAGACGUACUAACUAGAAUAAUUAUAAUAUGAUCUUUAUUAGUUACUUCAACAUUUGUGUAGUGCAUACCAGUCAUAUGUAAUCAAAACAGGAUAAACCUUCGAAUAAGUGAUCCUAACCCUAAGUCCACAACCAAAUAAGGAACAGGAAGUAAAGCAAAGAUUACAGAUUCUAAGUCUAUGCCACCAUAGUUACAUAUAACCGUAGUGUAUCCACUCAACAACUAUUGACAUACUAAUAAAAACCUGUUUAGUUCUCAAAUAAGUAAUUAUAGUACCACAAAAUACUCCUAUAGUAUUUUAAGUUUAUGUUAUGUUCUAAUGUUCUCAUUGUAGUAGUGUUGGUAAGUUCUUAGACUUGUUGAUACAUCAAAACCAUUCUCGACAUAUGCUAAUCACUUCUCGGACCAACAUAGUUGAUCAGGCUAUGUCACUCCCAGAACUGACCAUACAUCCCUGAGCUCACUUGUGAUGUUCAAGAAUAGUAAUACUUUUGUUAUGUUCUAGUAUGACACUGUUCUAUAGUAAGUAUGUAGAUAUGUAAUUAUGUAUACUUCUUGUUAAGUAUAUUAGUACCUAAAAGUAUAAACUCUUGGUCAGAGUAUUUUAAUCCAAUUGUAUUCAUAGUUAGUAUAUCUUUUAUGGGUUAAUAUACUCAAUUCACUAUAAACAAUGCUCUGAUACCAAUCUGUCACACCCCAAAACCAAGAACGGCGGAAACGUUCUGGGGCGGAGGACGUCAUGUACGGUAUCAUAACAAUGCAAAGUAGUAAAUAAGCAACAACAUCAUCCAUUGCAUUAAUAGUAUAAUUUCAUACAAGUGUGUUCUUUAAUAGUAAUAAGACACCAAAAAGAAUAAUCAAAAUAAAAGACGAGUCUUGAAGAUGCUCCGUCUUCUCAAAACCUGAUCAUCGGUACCUGUCUACUGGUGACCUGAGAAUACAAGUUAUUUUGAAAGCGUAGAUCAGCAUUUAAGCUGGUGAGUUCAUAAGUAUUUAGUGUCAAUGUUUGUAUAAGUUUGAUGAAAAUGUUUGUAAUUGAACAAUGUAAAUGUUUGUAUAUGUUUGAAAACUCCUAGAAAAUCCUAUAUUUUCUACUAGUAUAAAAAGUAGUCUUCUACCAAGACCCGACUGUUUUGUAUGUUUGUCUCUUUGUAAAAGUGAAAGCUUUUCCCAAGUAUGACUAUCAUUACCAAAAUAUAGUUUUAUAUUACCCUUUAUGUGAGAAGAUCACAAUUUGAAUAUAAUGGGAAAAUGUAUAUGUGUGCUGCAGUAUUAUUUGUAUUAAUCACUGAAGUAAUAACUACCUUAACACCAAUGGUUUAAUUAAGGCAAAAUGUGAUAUGAUUGUUACCAUACUAAUCUGACUAUAACACGACGAUGAAAGACGUCGGAAGAAAUGACAUUUGGCACCCGUAGACUUGCAAGUCCCACUGUAGCGAACAACAAAGGUGUAGGAUAGUCAAUCCAGUAUAGAUCUAUACGCAAACUCACGCUCUCCCUCCAGGAGAUUCUGGUUACAAAACGUGACAUAACGAAAUGGUCGAUGUGUCAUGAAGUAGUAUCUCACAUUAUGUUAUCUCUGAAUCUUGUUAUAGUAAUAGUAUUCUAUGUAUAGUAUUCUCUGUCUAGUAUUCUCUGUUAUAGUAUUCUCUGUUAUAUUAUUCUCUGUUAUAAUAUUCUCUGUUGUAGUAUUUGUAUAUGAUAGUAUUCUCCUAAACUAUACCUAUUAUAGUUUACUAGUAAGUUAUGUAUAUGAAUAGAUGAAUGUAUACCCUUGCUACCCAAAGGUACUGAACUGAUUGAAUAGAACUUUUAUGUCUACAUAUGUAUACAUAAUAUAUAUCUAAUAUUUAGACGACCUUCGGACAACUGACCGAUACCCUAAGUCCACAUCCAAACAAGGAAAAGGAAAUAAAGCGAGCCAACAGUCCUAAGUCCUUUAAACAUUAUGUAUAUAACUAUACAUAUAUAUACAUGCUAUUGACAGUAUAUAUAUAAGUUGAAAAGAGGUUUUGUAAUACAUUUAAAGAGUUUUGAGCAAUAAAUAAAUAAUGACUUGAUGUCAGUUUAUAAACCGAUUUAAAAGUAGAUUGUUUUGAAACACAGUUUGAAGUAUAUGAAAUCCUUGUUUGAAACACAGUUAUAAAUCACAUGUGAUUGAUCUUAUAACUAGCAUGUUUUCUACUUGUAUUCCCCCCUAUAAAAGCAUUUAAAAUCAUUUACAAGAUAACUUUAAGGGGUAUGAACUCACCUGAAAUGAGUGAUGUGAUAGUAGGAUCGGUGAAGGAUGUUAAGUGUUAAGUGAGGACUUGAACACACACAAUGAUCCUAGUUAACAUAUAAUAAAAUGUAUAUGUAUCUAAUUAGUCAAUUAACAACUAAUUAAUCAAGUUAAAACACCCUAGGACAUGGAAACACUUUGAUUCAAGUGUUAUAGGUACCAAAGGGUUGCAUCUAAAGGUCGUACGACAUGGCAUUGGAGUUUAUGGCCCAAGGACCACUCCUUAAGGAGUUUACGGCACAAGGUCACUUCCCCCAUGAGUUUACGGCCGUAAACUCAUGGUAAUAAGUUCCAUUUGGUGAUUUAAGGUCUUAUAAGCCAAGAGUAAGCAUUCUAUGAUCAAAUCCAAGCCUUUGGAAGCAUUAGGGGCACAAUAUCACCACCUUAUAGAGUUUACGGCCCAAGGACCACUUCCUUAUGUGAUUACGGCCGUAAAAUAUUAUGGGGACAUGUUUCUUUGAUGUUUAAGGCCCUAAACACUUCAAGGAAGGAUCAAGACUAGCAUCCAAGGCGUAGGAAGGGACUAGAGUUCAUUUGGACCCUUAAAUAGAGUUUACGGCCCAAGAAGGUUCCUUGUCCGUAAACUCCCAUUUGUUCAUGAUUUCUUGAUGAAUUCUAAGUGUAAACUAGUUGAUUCAAGCAUAUAUCAAGCUAAGACAAGAGUACUUAUACUGUAGAAGCUUGAAAGGGUGCUUAAGGCUCAAGAACACUAGUGUGUGUUCUUGAUGUUCUUGGUGAAAUGAAGAACACUUGAUUUAUCUAUCAAUUGAAGAGAUUUCAGGGAUGAAAUCAUUCACAAACACUAGAUAAUGAUGUUUAUUAACUAAGAAAUGAAGCAAAUACUUACGAUUUUGAAGAUCUAGUGAUGAUACUUGAGAGAGAAAUGGGGUUAAGGAUUUGAAAAUGGUUAAAAAUGAUAAAAAUGACUAAGUGUCACUUAUAUACCCUGGAGUUUAUGGCUGUAAACUCCAUGUUAGGGCCGUAAAAUCCAAACUCUUGUAGUUUUGAAACUUAAUGGUUGCAUACUUUACCCUAAAGUAUCCUCUCUCCAGUUAUCUCUUGCAGUACUAGGCUUUAGAACACUCAAACUGACUCUAAAACUGCUAAAAUUUAGCAAUUGAAAGUUUGACUUUGAUUGAACGCAGGGAUUGAUAUAAGAUAUAAAUUUAGAGUUGUCACAAUAAAUUCGAGCAAGCCAAGAAAAAGGAGCCCAAAACCAUAUCAUCCUCCUUCCUCUUAGCCCAUUCUCGGCCCAUAUAGUUAUUUACACAAAAAAAGGAAAAAGAGGGAUUAUCCUCCCUUGACACCUCAUUGUUGAAUGGUGGAUUUCCAUGCAACAUCACCUCAAAUAUCUCUUCUCUUCCCCCGUUUUUUGACUCACGGCCAACACACCCACCACCCACCUCCAUUUUCUCAUUUCAAGCUACUUCAAAACACUCUCUAGAACUCCUCAUUCUUCCAUCAAAAUUUCGAGAUUUGUGGGUGCUUUCAAAAGGAUUCUUCACCAAUAUCAUCAUCCUUGAUAAGUUUUAGCUUAUAUCCAUGGUUUAGUUUUUUGAUUAAUUCAAAAAUCUCCUCUUAACUCAUGCCAUUUCGUGAUAUUGCAUCUUAGAACCCAUCUAAGCUCAAAAACCUCUCAAGAAGCUUGCUAGGGCCAAGAAUGACGUCAUCUUCUUCCAUUUCUUCUUCAAACCGAGAACAACAAAGCAAAGUGAUUUCAUACCCCCUAUUGUCUAUUUCUACUUUGUUUUUAGGGAGAAUACAAGUUGUUUUGUGUAGAUUUAUGUGUAUAUGCAUGACUAUGUGUGUUUUCAUGAAUUAUUUGGUAAUUAUGUGUUGUUUACUUCACAAAUCUAAAAGUAUGUUAAGAAUAUGAAGUUUAUCACUUGAAUCUUCAUAAAAACCUUGAGAAAAAUAUGUUUUAUCACAUAUAAUACAUGUAAACUUGUAGAUAUGGGAUUUAUACACUUAAAAUAGCAAAAACAAGUGUUGUGUACGAACAUGGAUAACUCAAAAUCAAAAAUCAGACUUUGACAGAAAACUUUUGGUCUAAUCUCGAACUAUUUUGACCACCUUAAUGAUAAUAUAUUUCAAAACUAUUUUACGUGAAGAAAGUUUAGGUUUACAACUUUAAAAUGACUACUCUCACGUUUUCAUACGAUUUUUCUAUAAUUUUUGGCGAAUUUUACAAAACAUCCUAUCAUAUUUGAAAUAAUCUCGGACCAGCCUACGAAGGUGAGCAGUUUCACAAAGUUUUGAGGCCAUUAAAAAUUAUGAGAAAAAUUGGGAACAAAGUAGACAAACUUUCCAAACUUCCAGAGUUUAUGGAUCCAAAUUUCGACUUACGAUGAUUUUUCUACAAAUUUUCCAACAACCAGGUCAGAAAAGUCAAAAAUCAGAAAAAUGUUUAUAUUCACAAAAAUCAAGCCAAAAAUGAUAUUUUUGACAAAAAUGGGUUAAAAAUGUUAUUUUUACUAAGAUUGGGCCUUAAUUGUAAAUUUUUGGCUUAUUGGGCCAAGAGUGUCAUUUUUACAAAAAGUGGGUCUUUUAUAUCAUUUUUUUAAAUAAUUGAGUUGAAACUAACAAUAUAAUAACAAACGGGCUAAUUAGGUCAUUUUCAUGUUUAUUGGGCCUUAGAGACCCAUUAAUAUGUGUGAUAGAUCCUGAAUACUAUUUAUAUGUUUAUUAGGCCUCAUUGACCCAUUAACAUGUGAGACAGACCAUGGAUUCCAUUUGCGUGCUAUUUGGGCCUGUAAAUACCUUACAUGUGAAAUGGGCCUUAGUUGUCCUUUUACAUAUAUUUCGGGCCCAUAUUAUAUAAUCUUAUUCCUAUUGGGUCUUGAAAUGACUUACAUGUUAGCGAUGCCUCAGUGGCUCACUUACAUGGUUCAUUGGGCCUGAAAUGAGUUUUAUACAUUUUUCUUCGCGUAAAUUCGAUUAAGGAUCUAGUGAGACUUGUCGGUUGACACCUAUUGAGUGUACGAUCGUAGCCUGUAGUUAUAACCAGAGUCUCUUGGAGGGAGAGCGCGAGUUUGUGUAUAGAUCUAUACGGGGGUGACGCCCCACACCUGAGCUGUUCGCUACUGUUAGACUAGACCAGUCUAAGGUGACAAACCAUACCUUAAACAAGUCGGCGUCUUCCAGACGUCAAGACAGGCGAAAUUGUCAUUAUCAAGUAUGGUUGUAACGUCUCACUUAGAGGAAUUAACGUUAUAAAUUUACGAAAGACCAUUCUUUUCUUUUCUUCUUUGGAUUUCUCAGAAACAUACAUGUAUUGGUACUCAACCUCGAGGGUUGGUACGGCAUCAUUCUCUUUUACGGACAACAUAGGGUUGUCCGGGACAUUCCCUUUUCUCUCUGGAUUACUCAUGAACAUUCAUGUGCUGGUACUCAACCUCGAGGGUUGGUAUGACAUCAUUCUCUUUUACAGACAACAUAGGGUUGUCUGGGGGGAUUCUCUUUACAUUCUCUACAUUAUCUUUAUACAUUCUAAUAAACAAUAACACACAUGCAUAAAUACGAGAUCUGAUACAAACAUAAUAAAUUGUUUUAAAAACAUAUAGGAUUUUCUGGUGGUUUUCAAAGUUGUACAAAUCAUUUUCACAAACAUGCUUAUGAACUCACCAACAUCUUUAUGUUGACUUUUUUAAAUUAACUUGUAUUCUCAUGAAACCAUUGAAGCAGGUUGAGUGGAACAAACUAAUGGAUAUUUUGUUAUAGUUUGUUUCAUCAUACUUUGACUAUUUUGACAUGUAAUAUUCAAUACAAUACUUAAUGUAAACAUUGAAUAUUGUUAUAUUACAUGUGUGAUGAUGAUGAUGUUAUGUUUCAAUUAUAUACUCUGUACUGAUACUAUAAUAGUGAAGUCACGCUCAAGCCCCCGAACGUUUCCACCGUCUGGUUCCGGGGUAUGACAUCACUAGAGCCGUCAGAUUCUUCAUUAUGAGCAUCACGAAACAGGAAAUUCUUGGGUUGAGAAGAUUGCAAUUGGGUUUCUGGAGCCUUUUGAGAAAACUGAUUCCAUGGAUUAUAACUCUGAUUUUCUUCUGGAAGCCCGUAUGUGUUGUAAGAUUAUUGCACCGGAAAAUAUUGUUGUUGGAAGUUUUGGUUUUGUUGAUAGUUUUGGUAGUUUUGGCAUUGUUGAUAGUUUGGAUUUUGAAAAUCUUGACAAAAAAUGGACUAUUUUGACUUGAACCACCUUGUGUGGCUUUGCGUCUUUGGCAAGAACCAAUUUGUUUAGUUUUGUCUCGGAAAUCCAUUAAAUGUAAUCGAAUGAAUUAAAGGAAUAUAAAUUUUUUCAGAAGAAAAACACACUACAAAUGAAUGGAACAUGUAUUCAUCUUUAUAAACUUAAAUAAAACAAAAAAAAAAAAUAAAGAAAAGAAAUCGUAUGAAUAUGGUCAAAAUACAUUAAAAUGUGGUCAAUGCAUUCAGAUAAAGUUGGAAAAGAAUCCCUGCAAAGAAUCUCUGCAGGCAUUGAAAAAGUCCAUACAUUCAAUAAAUAAAGUGACAUGCCACAUGCUGUAAACGACAAAUAAAUUCAAUGCUUAAUCCUAUGGGUUCACCAACCCAUUUGAAACUAUUAAACAUUGAAAUCACUGAACCCUCCCUUUCUAGGUAUCGUUUCCCGCUGGUACCGGCUCUUCCCUCUAUUGAAACCGCUUCAAAUCCGAGAGACCUAAGGACAACAUGUUCAUUAGCAGUUCUAGGGAUGUUACCACAAUCCAAAAAUUUGACAGAUUAUGUGCAUUUUAGCUUCUUACUAUUACUAGGUAACUAUCAUUUUAAUGAAAUUGUUACAAUUACCCGGUGACUUUAAUAUAAAACAAGUGGAUUGGCAAAUGUUUGGAUUAUUGGUGGGGAAAUAAAAUUGGCCAACAUAGCUGAAAGGCUUGAUUAUAUACUAGAAAGUAAAGAAGAACAAAAAUUAUGUAAAGUUGAUGAAGUUUGGCUGGCAAUUGGCAUGUAAAGAGUAGUGAUGUAUGUAUGUUAUAAUUUUAGGGUCUUGAUGUAGAAGCUGUUCAAGAAGCUCUUUUUCUCAAUCAAUUUGAGCUCCAUCGUCACCAAUUGAUGGUGAGAUGAAGAUGUCUUGUGGAACAACAUUUUUUCAUUCACAUGUUCAAGAACCAAAAUGAUUGUAUACAUUAUUUCAUUUAAACCUUGUAUCGGGUGUGAUAUUAAUAUUUGUCAGUAAUUGUAAUGCAAUAUUAGGUUAUAUAUUUUACAUUGUACUUUUUUAUAAUAUUGGGUGUAAUGUUUAUAUUUAGCAUCUUACUUUGAUAAAAAAAAAUCACAGGCAUGAUGUUCAUUUCUAGCAUCCUAUUUUUGAUGGAUUUUUUUUUCAAAUGUUUAAUUUGUAGUUGAAAAAAUGUCAUUUUUCAUUCACUACAACAAUUCAGAAGUCCAGCCAAACAACAUGUAAAAAGAUUACACCCUCUUAAAAAUUAAGACCUUUUAAAAAUCCAAAUCAUAAAAAUUCAAUUUUUUUUUUUAAAUUCAAAUCAUAAAAAUUUAGAUUUUGUUUGCCUGUCAAACAACCCCUACCUAUUGUCAUUUUUAAACCACCAAAUUCAUUGUAUCUUUUAAUUCAAUUCAAAUUAGAUAUUUGUUAUUCAAUUCAAAUUAGAUAUUUGUUAUAACGAACAAGUUUGAUAAUCUUGGGACCUCUUUAUUAUGCUCUAUGUCUGGACCCACCGAGUUUCAAUUUUGUGAAGCACCAAAAAGGUACCAUACUUGCAUGGAAAGAUGCGGUAAAAAAUAGAAAAAAAAUCCUACCAUCAACGAUUCAACUCGUCCAAAGGCUGAGAUUUCAUUCGUUCAAUAUAUAUUAAGGUCCCGUUUGAUAGACAUAUUUUCAGAUCCAAACAGAUCUUUCUUGCUGAAUGGACCGGAAAAACUGUUUGAUAUGCACAAAAAAAUCAGUCUUUCCCCGUAAGAUAUGAGAAAACUUUAAAACCAUAUCUUUCUGGUUGAAUAGGCUGGAAAGACAAUUAUGCCCUAGACUCUGUCUCUCUUUCUCUCUUGUAUUAUUAAUUUCUUUUAAAUAAUUUUUUUAAUUUCUUUUUUAUUGAAUUAUUAUAUAUUAAUAAAUAUUAUUUUCAAUAUAUAAUAUUUAUGUAUUAAUAAAUAUUACUUUAUAGGAUUAUUAAUUUCUUUUAGUUAAUUUUUUUAAUUCAUUUUUAUUUGAAUAGUUCUUAUUUUUUCGGACAACACUACCAUCAUCCUAAUAUAUUUUGAAAAAUCCAUCAAUCUCACUACUAUCGGAAAUAAACCGAGUCAAGAAUCACAUGUUGAUUUAUAAAAAAAAAUUUAAAAAUUGCUAAAAAGAAUAACGCCGUAACAUUAACUUGAAAAAAAAACUAAAAACAAUUUAGUCGGCAUUCUAUUUGGAAUUUAAAUGAUUAUUAUGUAAUUUUGAUUUUGUAUGACAAUUUGUAUUUUUUUAAAGUUAUUCAACAAUUUUAUCCAUUACAAUAUAACAAGGUAAUAUUGUUAUUUUUCAUCAUUCAACACAAUCAAUCAGAUAUACAAUCAAACAAUAUGGUUUCUUUCCCGGUCAGAAAACAUUCCCAUACAAUACUACACUUUCCCGGACCUAACACUGUUUGAUAUGUGUCAAAGUUCAAACUCUAAAUCUUAAUGAAAUUCCACAACUCAAUCACAAUGCUCUCAUCACAGGUCAGGAAAAUAUGCAUAUCAGCCGAAUAAAUCGAAAGUUCAGUCCUACUUGGAACGAAAUAGGUAGACAACUAGACAUAGAUGUGGUUUACUGAAUACGUGAAUUUGUGUCGACCGUUCUUUUACGCACACAAAGAGGCAAACAACAAACACCAAAAUCCAAUUUUAGCGUAUGACACCGGACUUUUGUAAUUAACGAAACAUGCAUUUUCCUUAUAAAACAAAGCACUACAACAAGCACAUAAAAAAAGUUCCAAGUAACACAAACCUAAAACUUUCCACACAUAUUUACAACUAUAUAUACAACACAAAAGAGACAAACAUUCUCUCUCUCAAAAAUACCAAAAAGACCAAAUACCCGAACACAUUUAUAACUCCUAGCUAAAACCGAUAUUGCACUCUUGGUAGCUAAAGAGACCGUUGAUCUGACCUGUCAGACAGAUCUGUCUGACAGGUCAGAUCAGACGGUAGAGGAUCAGAUCUCACAGGUCGUAAGGAGCACGAGGGCUCCGGGUUCCAAUCCCGCUUGCCUUCUCGAAAGCGUCCGAUGCAGACUUCCUACGAAACCUAAAUGCCUCUGAUCUGCCUCCUGACCAUCCACCAUUUUCAUUAGCUCACAUAUUAUCAAAUAUUAAUGCAACCAUGCAAUCUAUCAAACACUCUUAUAGUUUUCAUACAAUAAUUUUAAAUUAUUCUUCAUCAAAUCUUUUUUCUUUCAUGCAUCACAUAUUAAUUAUUCUUGAGCGAAUAGAACUAAACACUAAUUAGAUUAUAAAUUCUUUCCCUAUUUGCCCAAUUAUGGUAUAUUUAAUCAACUUACUAAAUCAAUUUUCGUCUUGUAGGGUUUGUGAAUUAUUUAAUAUUUAUGUUCACUAUAGUGGACAAUAAUUCCAAUUAUUAUUAACAAUGUCAUUUUCAUGGUGGUAGAUGGGAGAUAAAUUUAUAAUUGCAAUUUGCAAAGAAAGAGACAAAUAUGCAUCAGUGUUUUCCAACAUCCUACUAGAAAUAGUCAAAUGCAGUUGUAAUUACUAAAUUACCCUUGCUCCAAUUACCCAGGAUCAUUCUAGAUCACUGCAGCUGGAAGGUCUAUCUCAGGUAAAAUGAUAAAAACGUACUUCUUACCAGGGAAAGGAGAUACCGGAGUUGUAGAUCCGGCGGGAGAUGCCGGCGGUGUGUCGCUCAGAGUUCUUUCAGGUUUUACGAUCAUUAUACUUCGUGUUACUCUCAUCGCAGGAUCCUCUACUGCCGUAUUCGUCACCGGCGGCGAUUCUGCUUCAGAGAGAGUAAAUGAAUUCGUUCAGUUUGAGUACAGACGAUUACACUUUUGGAUUCAAAUCUUUUGUGAAAAAAAUUAGUUUUUUUGGUUUGAUACACAUAAUCUCCGACGUAAACCCUAGGUUUCAGGAUCUCGAUUUAUCCAUAAUAAUACUUCAAAACUUUGGCCACUGAUCAGUAUCAGAAUUUAUCAUACAAUAAGAAAAGGAAUCAAUUAAAUAAUACUAUAAGUAUUUGAUUAAUUAUAAUUAAAGCAAAAUUCGCGCCAAAAUAAAACCUGAUGAUCACAAUAAGCGAUUGAGAUCAAGAGGACUUUAACUAUUAAGAUAACGGAAUUUUCUAAGUAAAAGGUUAUAAUAAUUAUAUGUGUUAACAUAUUCUUUAACAAAUUGUACAGUUCAAAAGCGGCAGGUAACAGCGUACCCUUGCCGGAAUCCGAUGACCGGAAACUAAAAGUAGACUGUUUUCGCAGCUUUCCGAGGCCCUUAUCCGGCCGAGGUCCGGCGACUGUGUCAUCCCAGAGUUGGUCGAGUAAACUCAUAGCAAGAAGAUGAAUAGAUGAUCUAACAAACACUCGUAAACCCCUCCGAUGAAGAUUGAGUGGUUUCAGAGAGUGGCUAUGGUGGUAUUUAUUGACGAACAUGGAUUAAACGUCGAAUAAGUCGUUUAUACUGGUAUUUGAUCGUGGCCGUUGAUUUUGGAUACGGUAUACCUUUAUACGCGUAAAGAUAAGAUCAGUGUCAAAAAUUAGAUGAGAUUGCCACGUGACAGGUCUAUUUAGUAGAGGUAAAAGGUCACGAGGGCCCUUUACUUUAUUCAUUUUGAAUGGGCAUUGCCCUUGAUUUAUGUGAAAAUUACGAGAAUGGGACUGAUGGUCUGGCCGCCAUUGCAGUGUUGACACGUAUAAAUCACUUUUGGGGAUGUUAAUGUGGGUACCCUUGUACGUUGGUUAAAUUUUCAACAAUGCCCUUAAGGUCUUGGUAAUCACAAAUAGGCACCCAAUAAAGUUAUACAUGUAAUUGGAUGGGGUUGGAUAAAUCAAGGGCACCCAAUAAAGUUAUACAUGUAAUUUUCAACAAUGCCUUAAGUACUUCUCUUAAUUUGUUCAUUCGAGUGUGAUAAUAUAAAACACAACUUCCGUAAACAACUUCUAAAGGGAAGCAAACAAGGUAUUGGAUCAUCAAAAGUGUCCGUUGUCGAAGAGCACGAAAAGUGAAAUUGCUAAAUAAUUUUUAGGGUUAGGUGUGUUUAUACCAAAGAUAAGAUAUACAUUUGUAAGGGUCAAAAUAUUGUAAAAGUGGAAGUGUAUGUUUUGUAUUUCGUAUGUAUUUACUAAGGCACUUGUUUAAUCGAAACGUAAUGUUGAGUCCUUAGUAUUUUUUGUACUUUCAGUAUCCUAUAAAUAGGGUCUAAACUUGAGUGUAAGUAAGAGGGUUUUCCCACUUCUGUUAUCUGUUUUGUACUCAAGUUCAUUGAAAGUAAUAGAAGCUGAAACCAGAUCAUAUUUACAUCGUAUGUUCUUUACUUGAUCAUUACUUAAAUUACUCUGAUUUACAUUUGAUUACUCAUUUCAAUUCAUCUACAAUUGGUACCAGAGCAGGAAUCAACCUGCAAUGAUCUGAUUUUCUUUUGAAUCGUUUGUUUUUUAGUCAAAAUUUUGUCUCAAAAGAUUCCGCACAUUUCGAUUCUGAAAAUCGUCUUAGAUCUACAGUUUUGGUUAGAUUCUGUGUUCGAAUUGUAUAAUCGAGUGAUCGAUUUCUGUAACGCCCGUAGAUCCUGGCUAGUCAAUUUAGAAACGAUAAACAUUAAAAAUGACUUUUUUAUGGAAUAUUAUUUAUAAGGAGUAAUCUUAACUAAGUUGUACUAUAUGUUACAAGGAUUCCGUACAUAUAAAGAACGCCGAAAUCCGAGUUAUAACAAAGAAGUUAUGACCUGACGAAGUUUCGCGACAGAACCGGCACGACACAACGCGACGUAAAUAGUGAAUUUAUGUUAGAGCGACAUUUAGCCUUAGUGAUCUAAACGAAAAUUGUAGAAUACGUUAAAACGAGAGCGUGCAUAAAAAGAAUGUCUAAAUCUGACUUCGUAUGUGGAAGUUAUGAUUUUUCUAAGUUUCGACUUAGCGGUAUGCAGCCCGAAGUUCGGAUUUGAGAUCGAGGGAUUUCUACCCAAAACAAGCUAAACAAGAAUCGAAGAUCUCGUCGAUAGUAGUCCAACGGUAGAAAGACAGACGAAAACAGACGUCAGAUGAAGAAGUUAUGAUUUUCUAACGGAGUUUUCCAGUCCCGACCUACUAAAAAUAAUAUAAUAAAAAUAAAACUCAAAAUUAGCCAACAGAGUCUAAACGAAAGUUGUAGAGCAUAAUCUCACCUACACGUGGAUAUAAAGAACGUCGAAAACGAAGAUCGUAUGCGAAAGUUAUGAUUUUCUGAAGUUCGAGGCAUGCAUCCCAAAGAGGGAACGCCCCGCGUUCAGUACAUGGCUCCGGAUUGGCCACGUCGAUGCUGACUCAGCGGAUAAGGGAUAGGAUCAGAACCCCACUCCUACGCGCUGCAUUCGUGUGGAACGCACUGCAUCGGGGAACACCAUGCGUUCCCAGAAGGAACGCAUUGCGUUCGAGGCCGACUUCAGCACUAUAAAUAGAUCGCUUGGGCAGCCGAGAUUUGUUGCUCAUUUCUUCUCUCACUCCUUAUUGCAUCGUUUUGCGUGCAAUUUAUAUCCCCGAAGCCCCGGUAUCAUCCCGACACCUGAAGCAAGUCUCGAAGCCCCGAGAAUCCCGAGAAGUAAAGUUUUCGAGUCGAAACUCUGCCCGCGUAAAGCCCGGUUUUGGAGAAAACGUCCCAGUUUUAUCGGAAAUGAUUAUUUUAAGAAACGAGGUGCUGUCUGAUCAUCAUCUUAUCAAGUGAGUGUGUAGUUACUUUCUUCUAACCCAUAAAUAUGAAGUAUUUGCUAUGAAAUACAUGCUAUGUGUUAUGUAUUGUUUGUUUAUUUGAGAUGGGUGUGGAAAGGAUGUUUUAUACAGGUUUUAAUAAUUUAAACCGUAUAUGUAUUUUAUAUCUACAAAUAUGUUGGGUAGAACAUGGGUAGAUGAAAUAUUUGGUGACUAUAUGACGUAGCGCCAGCUAAGUGAACCUUGGUGACUAUGGAGUUAGCGCCAGUUAAGUGAGCCUUGGUGACUAUGGAGUUAGCGCCAGUUAAGUGAGCCUUGGUGACUAUGGAGUUAGCGCCAAUUGACUGAACCUUGGUGACUAUGGAGUUAGCGCCUGUUAAGUGAACCUUGGUGACUAUGGAGUUAUCGCCUAAUAGCUAUGGAUUUAGUACCUGAUAGAUAAACUUUGGCAGCAAUGGACUUUGUGUCAAUUCCUUAGGUCAAUCCUUAGGAACGAAUGAAUGAAGGAUAAUUGACUCUUAGGGUAACGCUUUAAGAAACAGAAAGAUAUAAUGGGGAUGGGUAAUUUGGGUUGAUUGUCUGAUGAUUAAAUAUAAUAUAAUAUAUUACUGUGGGUUGAAAACCCUAUAUGCUCACCAGGCUCCCAAGCCUGACCCACUCAGUUUUCUUUGCAUUACAAGUAAUGACACAAGAGUAUAAGUUGGUGUACUUGACGAGAGAUUUUGGAUUAUAAAUCAGUAGUUAUAAAUAACUAUUUUAAGGUCUAUUUUAUAUUGUUUAUGCUUUUGGUCUGUAUCGGAACAUGACAUCCCGAGAUUUUGUUAUUUAAUGAAAAUACAUUUCUUUAAAGAAAUGCUUUGAUAAAUUCUCAUCAUAUUUUGUUUUGGGAACAAAUUCCGCAACUCUUUUAAUCAAAGAUUACUCUGAUUUUGUAAAACAAAGCAUAAACAAAUCGGUCUUUAAUGGUCGUGAAAAUUGGGGAUGUCACAAUUUCAAGUUUCUGAUCAAUUUUCAAGUUUCUCAAGAUUUCUGAAAAUUCUCAUCCGUACAACAAUGUCGAACUUCAACAUGAACACGAUGACAUCGUAUUCUCAUCUGCUUGGAUCAUAAAAAAAAAUUCCAAUGUUGAUUCCAGAUUACUACGAUCAAUGAACGGAUCGUAUGGAAGACUAUCUCAAUGGAUUGGAUGAAGAGUUGUGGAAUUGUAUCAAAUGAAGUGUUCAACCACCACCAAAUUCUCAAAAUUUAGGAUCAUCUGGAUCAACUUCUGUAGUAGAAGAACAAUCAACAAGGCUGAAAAACAAUGAGAAGCGUUGUAUGAGAGAGCUGAGAGGUGCUUUGCCACCUAUUGUUUACAACUACAUCCGUGGUUGUAAAACUGCAAAAAGAUAUCUGAAAUACUCUUAAGGAAAAGUAUUAGGGAAGCGCGAAAACGAAGAUUAAUUCAGUUAAGCAGUGUCUUGUGGAACUGAAGGAGUUCAGACAAAAAGAGAAUGAAACGAUUGAGGUUUACUAUGAUCGUUUUAAUGAAUUAAUCUAUCGAUACAAUCGUUAUGGAAUCACAAGGUCAUCUAUGGAGUUCAAUCUCACUUUUGUGAUGGGACUUCGUAAGGAGUGGAGAAGUGUAAGCAUGAUGGUGAAGAAUCAACAAAGCUUCGAUACUUCAUCGUUGAAUGAUGUGGUCCUUUAGCUCUAGUUUCGAAAAUGUAUGAGAAGGAAGAAGAAGAGAAAGAUGAUUCUGAUGAAGAAGGUUUUAUGAUAAAUUCUGAUGAUGAAGCGAUAACAUAUUACUCGAACAACCGAGUGAAGAAGUUUUUCAAGAAACCGUUUAAUCCGAAGGUGAAGCAGAGUGAAGUAAAGGGAAACUUUGUGAGCAAGUCUGGUGCUAAGGAAAAGAAAAAGUUUGAGAAAAAUGAUGAGAAAGCAAAAGAGUCGGAGAAUGAAAAGAAGCUUAAGGGAGACUCAUGUGUUGAUUGUCAUUAAUCUAAUGGAGCAAAUCAUUUAGAAAAUGAUUGUAUGCUUCUUAAGAAGGAUGAUAGGAAGAAUAAAGUCAAGGACGAAGCUUAUUAUGUGGAAAAGCUGGAGGAAGUUCGUGCAAAAGCUAAAGGACCGUCUUUGGUUGCACGAGGAGAGGCUGAAGAGGAUGGGACAUAUCAAAUCUGGUCCUCGGGUUCUGAUGAUGAAGAAAUGCGAAAUCCAACUCAUGGAGCUAUGUUUGCAUAGUUUGAGGAGGACAAGAAUGAAAAGGUGACUGGUUAUUGUUUCAUGACUAAAUCUGGAGACAAAUCACCAAUGACUACAAAGGUACGUUCUAUUCUUCAAUCUUUUAAUAUUCCUCUACAAGCUUAUGAUUCUGAGAUAGUUGCAUUUGAUGAUACUGUUGCUUAUUUCGAUACUAUUGUUGUGUCAGCUAGUAACAAAGCCAAGAAAUUAAGUACUCAACUGCUAGAGACCCAAAAACUUCUAGAUUCGAAACGUAGCAGGGUAGAGUAUUUAGAAUUGCAAAUAAAAAUGUCAAUAAUGAUAGAGAGAAUUUGGAUAGAGAUGUAAGGAUGUUGCUUGCACAAAGAAACAUAUAUUGUAAUUCGGCUAAACGUCUCUAUGCUAAAUUGACUGCAUUACGAUAUUAGUAAAGAAAAACAUAAGAAAUUAUUACCUUUUCUUACUUUUGAGAAAGAGAGAGAGAAGGUUGAUAUUUUGUACUAUGAUUGUGAAGAAACCAUAACAGACUUUAACAAAGAACCUGAUGAUAGAUUUGCUUAUGGUAUUGUUAAGAUAGAUGAAUUUCUGAAUGCUGAUGAACUUGUUGAGAUUGUGAAUGAAAGUUUGACAAAAAGUGAACAAAUCAAAAUUUUGAAAAGAACUGAGAAUUCGAAACUUGACUCUCAAUCUAAUUUUGCUGAUAUCGAAGAUAAUUUUGAUUGUUUUAGCGAAAUCAGUGAAUUUGAGGAGGAGGAAAGUGUCGAUUGUUCUCAGUUAUCAAUCAUUAAUGUCACAUCUAAGUCAAAAGGUAAAGAAAUUUAUAAUUAUUCGAUGGUUGAGAAUGACACUGAUAAACCCUCUACUUCAAAAGUCUAUGAUUUUGAUGAUGUGGAUGUAAGAGACAGUCAAACUGAUGAUAGUGAAGACGAGAAUGAAGAAGAUAUGUCGAACAAUUUUGAAAAAGAAAAGAAUGUUUCUAACUUAAUAAAAAUUCCAUGAAUUAUUGUUGAUCAAGUGUUUGGAGACACUGAAAAUUUCGACAGUGUUAUCUGACAAAGGUGCUCACUAUUUGGAAACCAACGCAGUGGUUUAUUCGAAUUUCAAGUGCACAGAUGAUGUAGUAUUUCCAAAUCAAGUGUUUGUCACUACUGGGAAUGUGGAAAAUAUGAAACGUGAAUUCAACAAAUUGGUUGAAGAAGAUAGCAAGAAAACAUCAAACGAAGGAUUCUUUUCAAAUCAAAGCACUGUCGAAAAUAAUCUAACAAAAAAUUCGUAUGUUUUUCAAAGACAAAAACCACAACGAAAAUGCGUUGAAAACGAGAAGUUACAAAAGAAAUUUUGAAACAAGAACCAAGUGAAACAAAUGAGAAUGUGAAACUUAAUUCACAAGAAUUUAAAGAUCUUGUUGACAAAUUUUUGAAAGAAAAAGGAAUUUCAAAAAGAUAGGCGAGACAGAGAAUGUUGUGGCAUAUUGUGACAAAUGAAAAGCAAUUAAAUGAACCAACAAAGAAAAUGUCUCAGAAUAAGUUGACUAAAACUGUUCAGUCAAGGUUUUCAACUUAUUUAGACAAAAAGAAAAAUCCCGCUCCAUCGAUUCCGUAUGAAUAUCCAAAGUCAAAUUCAAAAAAUUUUCCAACGGAGUUUUCAAAAUCCUCAUCACCAAAGAUUUUUCAAACAAAUAAUUCUCAAAAGCAUUCUUAUUCAAACAUUCAUCAAAAAUUUUCAAAUUCACAUUCAUCUUUCACAAAAUCAACAAAUGUAAAAAACAGAUUUUUUUCAAAAAGGACAAAUCAAAAGUUUGAGAAUAUUUGAAAAUAUGAGAAUGUUCGAAAAUUUGAAAAUCUUAGAAAAUUUGAAAAUGUUUGAAAAUUUGAAAACAAUCAAAAAUUUGUAAAAGAAAUUUCCAAGAGAACUUUAAAGUUUAUUACACAAAAGCCAAAUUUUCCAAAUCCGUUUGCACAAAAAGAGACCAAUGUUUCAUAUACAAAAGGUAAAUCUAAAGUGGAAACCAUAAAUCAUUGGCUUGAAAACAAUGGGAAAAAGUAUCAAUUUGGGAAGUUUUCGCAACAUCAAUUGAAAAAGGCCUAUGAACAGUAUUUGAAUGAUACUUCAGUUGGAAGUUCAUCUUCGAAAGAGUCAAAUACUCUAGUUCAAAGAUGGCAACCAAUCUCACAAGAAAAACAAUUAACGAAACAUGAGAAGAAAGUUGGUGAAAGUCCAAAACUAUCGAAAAAUUAUAUUUCGAUAUCUUUAACUGAUGAUGUUAACUUAAUUGAUUCUUUCAAAACUAAAGUUCGAAGCUGGGCUUUAAAUUCUAAAAUUCAUUCUCUUUUUCAAGCUAAUAACCAAGGACCCAAACAGCCUUGGGUACCUAAAUUCUUUCAAUGAUUGCAGUGCUAUGUGAUGAACAGUAUGAUGAGAAAUGGUAUAUUGAUAGUGGUUGCUCACGCCACAUGACUGGAAGGAAGGAGAAUUUGCGUGGUUUUCGAAGUUUAGAAAAUGCUGGUGUAGUGAAGUUUGGAAAUAAUCAUAAAUGUCAAGUUAAAGGUUAUGGAAAAGUAACGAAUGAUCAAUUUAUAGUGAAUCAUGUUGCUUAUGUGGAAGGUCUUCAACAUAAUUUGAUAAGUGUUUCACAACUUGUUGUGGGCACUUGCAAUCAAGUUGUGUAUAACGAAGAAGGAGGCAUCAUUUCAAAUGUCGAGACAAACAAAUUAUUGUUGAAAUCAAAAAGAUAUGGAGAUAUGUUUACCUCGACAUCAAACCCAUAAUUGGAAAACCAUUAGUUUGUCUACUUUCGAAAGCUCCCACAAAUGUUAGCUGGUUAUGGCAUUGACGUUAUCUCAUUUAAACUUUCGAAAUUUAAAUAAAUUGGUUGCAGAAGAUCUUGUUCGAGGUUUACCUGUUCGAAAUUUAAAUAAAUUGGUUGCAAAAGAUCUUGUUCGAGGUUUACCUGUGUUAAAGUUUGAUAAUGAUACUUUAUGUGCAACUUGUGAACAAGGAAAACAACAUCGUAAAGGGCAUCCAAUUGUCAUUGAUUCGAAAAUUAUUGAACCAUUGGAACUUCCUCAUAUUGACCUUUGUGGACCAUCAACUGUUGAAACUCUCAACAAGAAACGGUACAUUUUGGUUAUUGUUGAUGAUUUUUCAUGAUUUACGUGGGUGUAUUUUCUCAGGUUAAAAUCUGAAGUUGCUCAAACAAUGAUAGAAUUUAUCAAGAAAAUUGAGAUAAGUCUGAAGAAGUAAGUUAGAAAAAUCAAAAGUGAUAAUGGUUCUGAGUUUAAGAACAAAGUGUUGGAUUCGUACUUAACAGAAAAGGAAUUUUGCAUAACUUGUCUGCGCCCUAUACACCUCAACAAAAUGGAGUAGUCGAAAGGAGAAAUAGGUCACUUUGUGAAGUGGCAAGGACGAUGUUGACAUAUGCGAAUCUUCCUCAAUAUUUAUGGGCAGAAGCAAUUUCGAUAGCAUGUUUUACUCAGAAUAGAUCUUUCAUUCAUAAAUGUUUCAAUAUAACUCUGUAUGAAAUAAUCAAUAACCGAAAACCUAAUGUCAAAUUCUUUCAUGUUUUUGGUUGUAGGUGUUUUAUAAUGAAUCUCAAAGAUAAUCUUUCAAAAUUUCAAGCUAAGGCCGAUGAAGGAAUAUUUUUGGGAUAUUCGAACAAUUUGGUUGCAUAGAGAGUGUUAAACAAACGAAGUCGAAAAGUUGAAGAAACGUUUAAUCCCACUUUUGAUGAUUACUACGUGAAACAAGUAGAAAAACAAUUUGAACAAAAACCAAUUCUUAAUGAAUCAACUGAUGAAGCUGAAGAAUCUAGUUCAUCUGACUUUGAUUAUGAUUUAAUUUUUGGUGUUCCGCACAGGGCUGUUGAUGCUGGAGUACAUGCUGCUGAUAAUCAAACUCCUGAAUCUUUGAAACAUACUAAUGAUUCGACAAUCACCUCAGAUUUAACUGUUAAUGGAGAAAGCAUGCUAGAUGCUCAAGUGGAGGGGGAGCACUUGAAUAUACCUUUAACUGUUGAGGGGGAGCAUUCUUCCGAGGGGGAGAAUAACAGUAUGAAUGAACUCUUUGAGGGGGAGCAUCAGAAUGAUAGUCUUGCCGAGGGGGAGCAUGAUGAUACUGAAACCAUAAAUCAUGAUCAAAAUGAUGAAUUUCAUGACCUAAAAUGAUAAUAUUUUUUUUGCAGGAUCCGAAAAUGAAGAGAUGUACGAAGAUGCACCUUUGGACUUUGAUCUAGCAUAUCGACCAUUGGAAAAGUGGACAAGAAAUCAUCCGAAAGAACAAGUCAUUGGAAAUCCACAUGAUGGUGUUUUGACAAGAGCUCAAAUUUGUGCAAAGAAUGAGGUACUGAGUACUCAUCAAGAAUUUUGCAUGUUUAAUGUUUUCAUCUCCAAAAUAGAACCAAAGACAGUUAAGGUUGCAAUGGAGCACUAUGAUUGGGUUGUUGCAAUGAAAUUUGAAUUGGAUGGAUUUGAACGAAACAAGGUUUGUAGAUUAAUUCCUAAACCUAAUGAUGUUUCUAUUGUCGGAUUAAAAUGGAUUUUCAAAAACAAAACCGACAAAGAUGGAAAUAUUAUUCGAAACAAAGCAUGAUUAGUUGUUAAAUGUUAUUCGCAACAAGAAGGUAUCGAUUAUGAAGAAACCUUUGCCCCUGUCGCAAGAUUCAAGGCUGUUCGAAUAUUUUUGGCUUAUGCAGCUCAUAAAGAUUUUGAUGUUUAUCAAAUGGAUGUAAAAUGUGCAUUGCUUAAUGGUGAACUCGAAGAAACGGUGUAUGUAGAACAACCUCCAGGUUUUGUUGACGAAAAACAUCCUGAUCAUGUUUAUAUUUUAGAUAAAGCUGUAUAUGGGUUAAAACAAGCACCAAGAGCAUGGUAUGCAACUCUUACCAGUUUCUUAAAACAAUCGAAAAUUAAACAAGGAUCAGUUAACCCCAGAUUAAUUCAAAAGAAAGUUGGGAAUCAUCUAAUGCUUGUUCAAAUUUAUGUCGAUCAUUAUUUUUGGCUCUACUGAUCCCGCUUUGUCUUGUGAAUUCGAAAGCCUGAUGAAAAGUCAAUUCGAAAUGAGCAUGAUGGGUAAAAUCAAUAAUUUUCUUGGUUUAAACAUUCAUCAAAUCAGAGAAGGAAUUUUCAUCAAUCAAGAAAAAUAUACAAGGAAUUUGCUCGAAAAAUUUGGGAUGAUGAAUAACAUGAAGUUAAGAGUGCCAAUGGCAGUUGGAAAAAGGCUAACACCUUUGUUAGACAAACCUGUUGUUGAUCUUACUUUAUACAGAAGUAUGAUAGGUUCAUUGCUUUAUCUUAUAGCAAGUAGACCUGAUAUCAUGUUUUUCGUAUGUAAUUGUUCUAGGUAUCAAGCAAAUCCAAGAGAACCACACUUGACUGCAGUGAAAAAUAUUUUUCGUUAUCUCAAGGGAACGAUUUCGUUAGGAUUAUGGUUGUUGGGUUUUGAGCAUUCUAACACUUCCUAAGUGUACAUGCAACCCUAAAUACCUUGGAUCUAUGUUUUCUCUAUUAUACAUGCAAAUAAGAACUUCCAAGGUAUUAUCCUAAUCUAGCAUAUAAAACAAUGGAUAUAGUAGGAUAGAAUACAUACCUUUUUGGUGUAGUAAGUCUUCAUGAAGCUUGAGUGCUUAGUGCCCCAAGUGUGACACCUCAAAUGGAAUCACAAUCAUCAAAACACUUGGAAUGACUUGAGAGAAUUCUACACUCAUCAAAAUCGGCUAGCCCUUUCUUCACUAUCUCUAGUGGCCGAUUUUUCCUCAAUAAUAAGAUGCUUAUAUAGUUACACAAUUAGGGUAAACUCUUAAUUGUCAUGGCUUUCCAUUUCCUUGGAUCCAUGGGUACAAAUACACCAUGGAGCAUCCAUGGACCAUCCUAUGGGUUUUAGCCCAACUUGAUUAUCCAUGGAGCAUUAGCCCACUAUACAAGUAUGGAUGAUUUACACAAUCAACCCAUAUAUUUAAUUAGUCUUCUUUUGAUCACUUAAUUAAUCCUAGAUUAAUUCUUGAUCAAUACUAAUUAAAUAAUCUUAUUAUUCUUAUUAUUAAUAUACUAGAACUUAUAAUAUAUUAAUAACCAUAAGUGUCUUAUUUCUCUCAUUAUAGUCUAUCCAAGUGCAUGAUGGUAUGCAACCCAAAUGGACCAUGCCGGGUCGGGUCAAGUCUUACCAAUUAUAGUUAUGGACUUAGACAUUAAUCCAACAGUCUCCCACUUGGAUAAGUCUAAAACUAUUAUUGCGUAUGACUUCAGGAACCAACUGGCAAUCGUAGCUCUCAAAAGCUUCUGUCGAACUCUGACCUUGUAGAUGAACUCUGACCUUUGUCAAUGACUUGUCCAUUAGAUAAGGGAUCAUAUAUUCCUCCAUUCUAGAUAUCAUAUGGACUGAGACAUGGAUUAUAAUCAUUCUCUCUGUCCAUUUGUUGUUUCCCGAUUUCCGAUUUAUGACGACUGACUAAUUGAACAAAUCAAAUCAGUCCUGGCCCGGCCGAGCACUUCCAUUUGUCAUCAUCAAAUCAUCGAGGGGCCCACAGAUAUCGCUUUUAUCCCGAAGGUAAAAGGAAUGGAUAAACUUCGACUCAUAUGGCUUGUUCUACUACUUGUUGAAUCAUACACAAAGGCACGUUUUAUAGCACCGAGUUACCAAAUGCGUUUUCGUGCAAUCAAUGUACUAUCAACUCAUAGUAACAACUCAUAUCUCUAGGUUUGAAGAAUAUAAGAUAUUAUCGUCUCAUGAUCACUCGUGAUAAAAUCCAUGAAGUGAUUCCAAUGAGCGCGGGUUGAAUCCAAUACUCAGAACUUAUGAGCACUCAUGAGUGUUGUAGCCCUUUGUCCAACACCUUAGACCUCUACAAGCCAACCCAUGACAGUCUUAAUUCAUAUCUACUUCCAACAUAUGACCGACUGUGGAUGGUUUGAAUAACUUAGUCAUUCCGGAAGAAUAACCCAGUUUAUUCGGGAAGUCAAAACAUGCAAAAUGAAACACAAUAAUAAUUGAAUCCAAUAUGGUAUCAACCCUUUGAACAUAAAUAAAACACCUUUUAUUUAUCACCAUAUGAUUACACAUUAUUCAUUGUAUACUGUUUCAGCUAUCAACUUUAUUCUUGAAUUUAAAACAAUAGUUGUCCCAUGCUCCAAGCAUGUACACUAUGUUUUCUUAAACACUAGUCAUGCCACACACCAAGUAUGCAUACUAUGUUUGUCUAUGAUCUUUACUUUGUGAACUAGAUCAAUUGAACAUAACUUCAAUGAUUCUCUUUUCACACUCCCAAAUCCUUACUGCAAAUGCAAGAAUUCCAAAUUCAUGCCAUUUACUGAAAUCUGUUAGAUUCUAAACUUAUAUGCAUUGAUCCUCUUGUAAUGAUUAUGCACAAAGUCACAAAGACUUGGCAACAAUCAUUACAGAGUAUUCCAAAGGAGAUCAACUCCUUGGAAAUAUCCUUCUUGCAUUAAGUUUCCUUAAUCUUACACAGAUUGAAAAUUCUAACUUUGAAACAUUUCCAGAUUCCAUUUUGACUAUCACUUCUGAACAAGAGUUGCCUCCUUACAGAUUAUGUCAAUAUGGUCCUUCCAGAAUUAUCACUAUACUUCCAAUUGUCCUUGAGUAACCAAUCUUUGGUAAACCUUAGAUUGUCCUCGACAAUUGUUUAAUCCUUUUAGUCAUAUCCAGUUCUAAACCUUUUCCCUUCUUAAUGCCCCAGGCAUUUGGAAAAUUUUAGAACGGAUGAAUAUAGCACAUGUAAUCGAUCCUAUAUCCGAAGCAUAUGGGACACGAUUCAUGAUGUCUUACAUAAAGACUAAACCAGUCUUUUGCUAUAAUAUUUCCAUUUCAAUUUGCCAAGUUCUCAUAAUUCAGAUUAUGAAAAGGGAUGCCGUAAUCAUAAUCGAAUUUUAGAACGCAAAUAAUGGACCCAUAUACAGAAUUUCCUUAUGUUGAGCCAUUCCAACAUGAAAUUCAUAUAUAUCCUUGACUAAAUGAUUAAAACCUCACGAUCUAAGCUUAUAGAUUUGAGAUGAAGCAUAAUUUCCUCUCCCUUAAUUAUAGCAAAACAACUUUUUCCCAAUUGAAACUUUUGUUUUCUAUAAUUAACAUUGCUAACUUGCAAUACUUAUCAUAAUUAUCAUGCUCCCACUAACAUGAUGAUUAUUAGCAUAACACUUAUGCUCCCACUAGCUUUGACAUGUACUCAGAAAUCAGCUGGACAGUCUGAAAUUUAGAUUCAUACACCCUUUCCGUAGAUAGCUCACCUGUGUGUCUAAGCAAUUUCAAGAACCAUGAAAAGGGAUACCGUAAUCAUGGUCUCAAUUGCUUAGGCAUUUGCCAUUUCUCACAAGUCCAUGUUAGUGUGCCGGUUAACCACACGCGCUCCACUAACGACUUUUGAAAAUGCAAAUAACACAAUUGAUAUCUUCGUAAAAUCUACUUAGUGAAAGCGUUUCCUCACCAUCAUUUUCAUGAAUCGGAGAGAAACCUUAUGACACUUAGAUUUAUAUGGUGUAUGAGUUCCUACCCAUAUGAAUUUGUCAAACCAUAAUCACAAGACAAAGAUAAUGACAAAUCCAAAACCAUAUGGAUUGAACUCAAUCUUAACUUCUUGCCACCUGGCAGCUCAAGGGCCUGCCAUUGCUUCCAAGUUGUUAUGCAACAAACUGAGAACUCUAAGAACUCAUAUGCAAAGCCAACUUUAACUGGAAUGGGCACAGAUAUGUCAACACGAUAGGUUAUAAACCUCAAGUCGUGUGCUAGUGAAGAACUUUAGGUUUUAUUCUUGAUUAUUUCUUGAGACUUUCAAGACCUUUAAGACUCCCACUGUCCUCUUGACAUAUAAGACUCCCUUGUCAAACAUCCAAGAGAUAGUGCGGAUUCUAAUCAAGAAAAACACUUUACCCAAUUGGCCUAAGUUGGUCUUUGUUUUAUCCAAAACAUCACAACUUACCAAUUUCAAAUGUACAAGAGUAGAAAACUUUUACUCUUACAUUUGACAAGUGUUUUAAACCUUCUUUAAGACAUGUCACUCAAAUGACAAUCUUGGAGUAUGACUCUAAGACUUGUAUUGGAACGAAGUAUGACUCAUCUUCUUGAUUUAACCAUUUCAACAAUUCAAGUUCCUCUUCUUAGUCAUAAGAAUGCACUAAGAUUUCCUUAGAGAACUAAUUUUGAUAUGGUUUCUUAAUCAUUAAGAUGAUCACAAAACUGAUACUAAAGUACUCUCCCAUCUUUUCAGAUUUGAGAAACUUUUAUCCUUCUGCCUUAUUUGAUUCUUCUUAUCGAUCUUUAGUGGUGGACUUAAUCAGUGCACAAGAAUGUGUACUCGAUCCCUUAGUCCUUUACUUGACUCACACAUCCAUGUGAACAAGUAAUUAGUCUUAAUUUUCCAAAACUUGAAAGUUCUCAUUCAUCAUGCUAUACAACUUGCAUGAUUCCAAGUUCCGGUCCAAUUGAAACUUGGGUGAUGAGAAUCUUUCCUUAUUUGGUAAAUCUAGACAUUACCACAAAUGAAAGAAUCAAUUUCAUAUUUCCACUCUUGCUCUUAAUGGAAUCAUAUAAGCAACAAUUUUUCCUCAAAAGCCAUUGUAAGGAUAUUUUAAAAUAAAUAAAAUCAAAAAAAUUUUCUUUUAUUUUAAAACUUUGCGGAAAAACUUAUCCUUACAAUCCAUAUGAAAACUUGUUGUUAUCUAUUCCUAAGCAAUAUCUCAUAACUCCUAAGAAGUAGCUCAAGAAUCCGAUCUUCAAACUAUGCGAUAGAAAUCCAUCUACGCCAUCAGAUUCAGCAUAUUCUUUCUUUAAGUUUCUUCACUUUUCUUUGAUUCUUAAAACAUCACCAUGUGACCCAGUCACAUCAUGUAUCAAGAAUCUCAGAAUAGAAACUUAACAGAGUUAGAUAGUGGACUUUACCUGAAGUAGAGUCAAACUUAUUGACUUUAACAUCCUUAGGUAAAUUUGGCAGCUUCGCAACCAAUGCCCCUUCCUUUGGCAAUAUAAACAUAUGGACCCUUUGAUAAUGGUACACGGGACUAUCACAGACUUAGCUUUUCUCUUUACCAUUUGGUCAACCGAGUUGACUAUGGCCGAUCCCUUUCCAUUGGGAAGAGAAUGCUUUACUGGAUAUCCAAUGUCAUCAUUGUCAAUGUCCAUAAAGUUUUAGGAAGUUGAUCUUAGCAAAUAGAUAAGAUCAUUAAGGGUCUUGUCAUAGUCUGUUUCAUAGGUGUCCCAAAGGAACUCACUAUGUGACUUAGAAAGUGGUUGAACCACCAACUUUCUCAAGACUUUGACACCCAACUCUCCCGGCUUGUCAAUAUGUGACUACAUCUCCAAGAUGUGACCACACCUAGACCUUGCCUUGCUAAUAGGGCCUGAGUGACCUUAAACUUUUCAAGAACUUGUGGGUUAGGGAGAAUAAUUUGAAGAGGUGAAGAAGUAUGAUAUCCAUGGGACAUCAUCUUCAUUAGGAAACCUUGUUUCAAGAGAUUUGGGAAGAUCAUAGGUGUCUAAACCAGACAUCUUUUGGGAGAUAUUCAAGAUAGUUGAUUUAAAGUCCUUAAUAUGACACCCAAUAUGAAAUAUUAAGGCUAGGACCCAACAAACUAUUUUAUAACUUAGAAGAGGUAUGCCGUAAUCCAAGCUAUAAAAUAUUUGAAGGUAGGUGAAUGACGAUUCACCAAUUUCCACCAAGAUAAACGAAAUGUAUUAUUAGGUUUUAAUUGGUUUUGAAACUCCUAGAUCUUUGAGAUUCAUUGAACUUUUCAAAGGCAUGUUUCAAUCUCGAGUGUGCCCUUCAGGUUUUGUGACUGGGAUGCCGAGGAUCACAAAACAAGGUGUGAAGUAACCAUGCAAAUCACUUGGUACCCUUAAUAAAUUACCCCUCAAUCGAUGUGCCGGUUAACCACACACGCUCCAUCGAUACUAUGAUAAAUAUUAAGUCACCCUUUACCUACCUUGUUAAGUCCAAGUUAGUGUGCCGGUUAACCACACACGCUCCACUAACGACUUAGACAAAGUGUAAAGUGUAAUUUCAUGGAUUAGCACCUUAUUCACAUUUUUCCUAAGUAACUAAGAUUGGGUAUUAUUAAGAGUUUAGUUACUUAGUAUUAUCAUUAAUACUUUUAAUGAAGGGAGAAUUCUAGUCCUGUCAAACCCGUUCGGCUAACGACCCUCCACCAGUCAAGCAAGCGGUGGGUGAGAGUGGACACCCAUUAAGUUGCCAUUUUAUAGGCAACAACCUUAUACCCACCUUAUAGACCGGCUUCGUGAAUGAGGCGUACUAGCGGUAAGACUGACUUUACUCUUAUACAUAUAUAUAUUAUUAACUUAUAAUAUUAUAAAGUAUAAGGGUUGAAUUUUAACUUUUAAAAUUCUAAGGGCUAACUUGGAAUUAAAGUAUUCAUACUUGAAAACUUUUCAAAUUCCAAAACUUGAGGGCAAGUUUUGAAACUAUUCAAAACUAAUUAAUUCCAUAACUUAUGUGUUUAAAGUAGUUUUAAUCCAAAAACUCUUCAAGUUCCAUAACUUGAGGACAAGUUAUGGAAGACUUUAAACUAAUAAAAGAACUAACUUUUUCUUUAUUUUAUAACUUAUGGAUUUAAUUAUGGUUACAUAUUUUUCUUUAAUGAAGUGACUCUUGAACUUCCAUAACUUGAGGACAAGUUAUGGAGUCAAAAAAAAUUAUUCAAUGACACAAGACUCUUCAUUUUGUAACCAUUGCCAACUUUUAUGAGUUUUAUGAGUCUUUAAUGUGACUCUUCAUGUAACUUGAGGACAAGUUACACAAACACAUUUUAUACUCAACUCUUAGAUUAAAAUGGAUUGAAAACAACUAUUUCACUCAACAUUUCUAUUAAUCUAAGCAACUCAUAAGAACAAGAUAAUUCAAAUCAAACUUUUUCAUGUAAUUAGUCUAAACCUUAAACUAAUACAAAACAUGAAUCUAUUGACAAUUAUCUUUGAAAAUGGAUUAGCAUGAACAUUACCACAUCAAAAACAAGUUUAUAAGUUCAAAAACAACUUAGGGUAAUGUUCCUAGUCCAUUUCUAGCCAAAAAACUCGAAAAUAUGCUGUCUGGGGGUCCAACUCGUCGAGUGCAUGAACAAACUCGGCGAGUUGGAUCGAAUUCAUCACUUUUUAGGCAUGGACUCGUCGAGUCUCCUGAUGGACUCGCCGAGUCUGAUGGCCAGACAGCACCAGAUUCGUUUUUUCAGCUUCUAUUGCAGGUAUAACAAGAAAACAAGCCUAGGCUCUGAUACCACUGUUGGGUUUUGAGCAUUCUAACACUCCUAAGUGUACAUGCAACCCUAAAUACCUUGGAUCUAUGUUUUCUCUAUUAUACAUGCAAAUAAGAACUUCCAAGGUAUUAUCCUAAUCUAGCAUACAAAACAAUGACUAUAACAAGAUAGAAUACAUACCUCUUUGAUGUAGAAAGUCUUCAUGAAGCUUGAGUGCCUAGUGCCCCAAGUGUGACACCUCAAAUGGAAUCACAAUCAUCAAAACACUUGGAAUGACUUGAGAGAAUUCUACACUCUUCAAAAUCGGCUAGCCCUUUCUUCACUAUCACUAGUGGCCGAUUUUUCCUCAAUAAUAAGAUGCUUAUAUAGUUACACAAUUAGGGUAAACUCUUAAUUGUCAUGGCUUUCCAUUUCCUUGGAUCCAUGGGUACAAAUACACCAUGGAGCAUCCAUGGACCAUCCUAUGGGUUUUAGCCCAACUUGAUUAUCCAUGGAGCAUUAGCCCACUAUACAAGUAUGGAUGAUUUACACAAUCAACCCAUAUAUUUAAUUAGUCUUCUUUUGAUCACUUAAUUAAUCCUAGAUUAAUUCUUGAUCAAUACUAAUUAAAUAAUCUUAUUAUUCUUAUUAUUAAUAUACUAGAACUUAUAAUAUAUUAAUAACCAUAAGUGUCUUAUUUCUCUCAUUAUAGUCUAUCCAAGUGCAUGAUGGUAUGCAACCCAAAUGGACCAUGCCGGGUCGGGUCAAGUCUUACCAAUUAUAGUUAUGGACUUAGACAUUAAUCCAACAGUCUCCCACUUGGAUAAGUCUAAAACUAUUAUUGCGUAUGACUUCAGGAACCAACUGGCAAUCGUAGCUCUCAAAAGCUUCUGUCGAACUCUGACCUUGUAGAUGAACUCUGACCUUUGUCAAUGACUUGUCCAUUAGAUAAGGGAUCAUAUAUUCCUCCAUUCUAGAUAUCAUAUGGACUGAGACAUGGAUUAUAAUCAUUCUCUCUGUCCAUUUGUUGUUUCCCGAUUUCCGAUUUAUGACGACUGACUAAUUGAACAAAUCAAAUCAGUCCUGGCCCGGCCGAGCACUUCCAUUUGUCAUCAUCAAAUCAUCGAGGGGCCCACAGAUAUCGCUUUUAUCCCGAAGGUAAAAGGAAUGGAUAAACUUCGACUCAUAUGGCUUGUUCUACUACUUGUUGAAUCAUACACAAAGGCACGUUUUAUAGCACCGAGUUACCAAAUGCGUUUUCGUGCAAUCAAUGUACUAUCAACUCAUAGUAACAACUCAUAUCUCUAGGUUUGAAGAAUAUAAGAUAUUAUCGUCUCAUGAUCACUCGUGAUAAAAUCCAUGAAGUGAUUCCAAUGAGCGCGGGUUGAAUCCAAUACUCAGAACUUAUGAGCACUCAUGAGUGUUGUAGCCCUUUGUCCAACACCUUAGACCUCUACAAGCCAACCCAUGACAGUCUUAAUUCAUAUCUACUUCCAACAUAUGACCGACUGUGGAUGGUUUGAAUAACUUAGUCAUUCCGGAAGAAUAACCCAGUUUAUUCGGGAAGUCAAAACAUGCAAAAUGAAACACAAUAAUAAUUGAAUCCAAUAUGGUAUCAACCCUUUGAACAUAAAUAAAACACCUUUUAUUUAUCACCAUAUGAUUACACAUUAUUCAUUGUAUACUGUUUCAGCUAUCAACUUUAUUCUUGAAUUUAAAACAAUAGUUGUCCCAUGCUCCAAGCAUGUACACUAUGUUUUCUUAAACACUAGUCAUGCCACACACCAAGUAUGCAUACUAUGUUUGUCUAUGAUCUUUACUUUGUGAACUAGAUCAAUUGAACAUAACUUCAAUGAUUCUCUUUUCACACUCCCAAAUCCUUACUGCAAAUGCAAGAAUUCCAAAUUCAUGCCAUUUACUGAAAUCUGUUAGAUUCUAAACUUAUAUGCAUUGAUCCUCUUGUAAUGAUUAUGCACAAAGUCACAAAGACUUGGCAACAAUCAUUACAGAGUAUUCCAAAGGAGAUCAACUCCUUGGAAAUAUCCUUCUUGCAUUAAGUUUCCUUAAUCUUACACAGAUUGAAAAUUCUAACUUUGAAACAUUUCCAGAUUCCAUUUUGACUAUCACUUCUGAACAAGAGUUGCCUCCUUACAGAUUAUGUCAAUAUGGUCCUUCCAGAAUUAUCACUAUACUUCCAAUUGUCCUUGAGUAACCAAUCUUUGGUAAACCUUAGAUUGUCCUCGACAAUUGUUUAAUCCUUUUAGUCAUAUCCAGUUCUAAACCUUUUCCCUUCUUAAUGCCCCAGGCAUUUGGAAAAUUUUAGAACGGAUGAAUAUAGCACAUGUAAUCGAUCCUAUAUCCGAAGCAUAUGGGACACGAUUCAUGAUGUCUUACAUAAAGACUAAACCAGUCUUUUGCUAUAAUAUUUCCAUUUCAAUUUGCCAAGUUCUCAUAAUUCAGAUUAUGAAAAGGGAUGCCGUAAUCAUAAUCGAAUUUUAGAACGCAAAUAAUGGACCCAUAUACAGAAUUUCCUUAUGUUGAGCCAUUCCAACAUGAAAUUCAUAUAUAUCCUUGACUAAAUGAUUAAAACCUCACGAUCUAAGCUUAUAGAUUUGAGAUGAAGCAUAAUUUCCUCUCCCUUAAUUAUAGCAAAACAACUUUUUCCCAAUUGAAACUUUUGUUUUCUAUAAUUAACAUUGCUAACUUGCAAUACUUAUCAUAAUUAUCAUGCUCCCACUAACAUGAUGAUUAUUAGCAUAACACUUAUGCUCCCACUAGCUUUGACAUGUACUCAGAAAUCAGCUGGACAGUCUGAAAUUUAGAUUCAUACACCCUUUCCGUAGAUAGCUCACCUGUGUGUCUAAGCAAUUUCAAGAACCAUGAAAAGGGAUACCGUAAUCAUGGUCUCAAUUGCUUAGGCAUUUGCCAUUUCUCACAAGUCCAUGUUAGUGUGCCGGUUAACCACACGCGCUCCACUAACGACUUUUGAAAAUGCAAAUAACACAAUUGAUAUCUUCGUAAAAUCUACUUAGUGAAAGCGUUUCCUCACCAUCAUUUUCAUGAAUCGGAGAGAAACCUUAUGACACUUAGAUUUAUAUGGUGUAUGAGUUCCUACCCAUAUGAAUUUGUCAAACCAUAAUCACAAGACAAAGAUAAUGACAAAUCCAAAACCAUAUGGAUUGAACUCAAUCUUAACUUCUUGCCACCUGGCAGCUCAAGGGCCUGCCAUUGCUUCCAAGUUGUUGUGCAACAAAUUGAGAACUCUAAGAACUCAUAUGCAAAACCAACUUUAACUGGAAUGGGCACAGAAUAUGUCAACACGAUAGGUUAUGAACCUCAAGUCGUGUGCUAGUGAAGAACUUUAGGUUUUAUUCUUGAUUAUUUCUUGAGACUUUCAAGACCUUUAAGACUCCCACUGUCCUCUUGACAUAUAAGACUCCCUUGUCAAACAUCCAAGAGAUAGUGCGGAUUCUAAUCAAGAAAAACACUUUACCCAAUUGGCCUAAGUUGGUCUUUGUUUUAUCCAAAACAUCACAACUUACCAAUUUCAAAUGUACAAGAGUAGAAAACUUUUACUCUUACAUUUGACAAGUGUUUUAAACCUUCUUUAAGACAUGUCACUCAAAUGACAAUCUUGGAGUAUGACUCUAAGACUUGUAUUGGAACGAAGUAUGACUCAUCUUCUUGAUUUAACCAUUUCAACAAUUCAAGUUCCUCUUCUUAGUCAUAAGAAUGCACUAAGAUUUCCUUAGAGAACUAAUUUUGAUAUGGUUUCUUAAUCAUUAAGAUGAUCACAAAACUGAUACUAAAGUACUCUCCCAUCUUUUCAGAUUUGAGAAACUUUUAUCCUUCUGCCUUAUUUGAUUCUUCUUAUCGAUCUUUAGUGGUGGACUUAAUCAGUGCACAAGAAUGUGUACUCGAUCCCUAAGUCCUUUACUUGACUCACACAUCCAUGUGAACAAGUAAUUAGUCUUAAUUUUCCAAAACUUGAAAGUUCUCAUUCAUCAUGCUAUACAACUUGCAUGAUUCCAAGUUCCGGUCCAAUUGAAACUUGGGUGAUGAGAAUCUUUCCUUAUUUGGUAAAUUUAGACAUUACCACAAAUGAAAGAAUCAAUUUCAUACUUCCACUCUUGCUACUAAUGGAAUCUUAUAAGCAACAAAAAUUUCCACAGAUGCCAUUGUAAGGAUAUUUUAAAAUAAAUAAAAUCAAAAAUUUCCUUUUAUUUUAAAACUUUGCGGAAAAACUAUCCUUACAAUCCAUAUGAAAACUUGUUGUUAUCUAUUCCUAAGCAAUAUCUCAUAACUCCUAAGAAGUAGCUCAAGAAUCCGAUUUUUCAAACUAUGCGAUAGAAAUCCAUCUAUGCGAUCAGAUUCAGCAUAUUCUUCCUUUAAGUUUCUUCACUUUCCUUUGAUUCUUAAACCAUCACCAUGCGACCCGGUCACAUCAUGUAUCAAGAAUCUCAGAAUAGAAACUUAACAGAGUUAGAUAGUGGAUUUUACCUGAAGUAGAGUCAAACUUAUUGACUUUAACAUCCUUAGGUAAAUUUGGCAGCUUCGCAACCAAUGCCCUUUCUUUGGCAAUACAAACAUAUGGACCCUUUGAUAAUGGUACACAGGACUAUCACAGACUUAGCUUUUCUCUUUACCAUUUGGUCAACCGAGUUGACUAUAGCCGAUCCCUUUCCAUUGGGAAGAGAAUGCUUUACUGGAUAUCCAAUGUCAUCAUUGUCAAUGUCCAUAAAGUUUUAGGAAGUUGAUCUUAGCAAAUAGAUAAGAUCAUUAAGGGUCUUGUCAUAGUCUGUUUCAUAGGUGUCCCAAAGGAACUCACUAUGUGACUUAGAAAGUGGUUGAACCACCAACUUUCUCAAGACUUUGACACCCAACUCUCCCGGCUUGUCAAUAUGUGACUACAUCUCCAAGAUGUGACCACACCUAGACCUUGCCUUGCCAAUAGGGCCUGAGUGACCUUAAACUUUUCAAGAACUUGUGGGUUAGGGAGAAUAAUUUGAAGAGGUGAAGAAGUAUGAUAUCCAUGGGACAUCAUCUUCAUUAGGAAACCUUGUUUCAAGAGAUUUGGGAAGAUCAUAGGUGUCUAAACCAGACAUCUUUUGGGAGAUAUUCAAGAUAGUUGAUUUAAAGUCCUUAAUAUGACACCCAAUAUGAAAUAUUAAGGCUAGGACCCAACAAACUAUUUUAUAACUUAGAAGAGGUAUGCCGUAAUCCAAGCUAUAAAAUAUUUGAAGGUAGGUGAAUGACGAUUCACCAAUUUCCACCAAGAUAAACGAAAUGUAUUAUUAGGUUUUAAUUGGUUUUGAAACUCCUAGAUCUUUGAGAUUCAUUGAACUUUUCAAAGGCAUGUUUCAAUCUCGAGUGUGCCCUUCAGGUUUUGUGACUGGGAUGCCGAGGAUCACAAAACAAGGUGUGAAGUAACCAUGCAAAUCACUUGGUACCCUUAAUAAAUUACCCCUCAAUCGAUGUGCCGGUUAACCACACACGCUCCAUCGAUACUAUGAUAAAUAUUAAGUCACCCUUUACCUACCUUGUUAAGUCCAAGUUAGUGUGCCGGUUAACCACACACGCUCCACUAACGACUUAGACAAAGUGUAAAGUGUAAUUUCAUGGAUUAGCACCUUAUUCACAUUUUUCCUAAGUAACUAAGAUUGGGUAUUAUUAAGAGUUUAGUUACUUAGUAUUAUCAUUAAUACUUUUAAUGAAGGGAGAAUUCUAGUCCUGUCAAACCCGUUCGGCUAACGACCCUCCACCAGUCAAGCAAGCGGUGGGUGAGAGUGGACACCCAUUAAGUUGCCAUUUUAUAGGCAACAACCUUAUACCCACCUUAUAGACCGGCUUCGUGAAUGAGGCGUACUAGCGGUAAGACUGACUUUACUCUUAUACAUAUAUAUAUUAUUAACUUAUAAUAUUAUAAAGUAUAAGGGUUGAAUUUUAACUUUUAAAAUUCUAAGGGCUAACUUGGAAUUAAAGUAUUCAUAAGUGAAAACUUUACAAAUUCCAAAACUUGAGGGCAAGUUUUGAAACUAUUCAAAACUAAUUAAUUCCAUAACUUAUGUGUUUAAAGUAGUUUUAAUCCAAAAACUCUUCAAGUUCCAUAACUUGAGGACAAGUUAUGGAAGACUUUAAACUAAUAAAAGAAUUAACUUUUCUUUAUUUUAUAACUUAUGGAAUUAAUUAAGGUUACCCUUUUUUUUAUUUUAUUUUAUUUUAUUAAAUGAAGAGACUCUUGGUCCUCCAUAACUUGAGGACAAGUUAUGGAGUCAUAAAACCAUUUAAUUAGAACUAGACUCUUCAUUUUUGUAACCUUUGCCAAUUUUUAUGAGUUUUAUGAUUCUUAAAUGUGACUUUUCAUAUAACUUGAGGACAAGUUACAAAAACACAUUUUAGAAUCAAUUCUUAGAUUAAUUUGGAUUAAAACCAACUAUCACAUAAUUUUAUUCAUUAAUCUAAAUUCACUCAUAAAACAAGGUAACACAAAAAACUUUUGGUGAUCCAUAACUUAUUCUUAAGUUAUGGAAUCCUUUAAAACAUUAACACCAAAUUUUGUAACUCCAAAAAAACUUUGAAUUAAUUUUUUUUUUAAAACCUUUUCAUAUCCAUAACUUAUGGAGGUUUCAAAAAAUAAAACUCUUUAGAUCAAACUUUUAAAACUAAUAAAAUAAUCAUAUUAUUUUAUCUUUUAUUAAAUUUGACCUAAUUCAACUCAUAAAGCAAAUUAUUCAAAUUUUACAAAUAAUUAGUUUUUCACAAGAACAAGUAAUUAUCUUAAAAUUUGACAAACUUCAUUUUUUUUUUUUCAACUUUGAAAAUAAAAUAUUUGCAUCAAUAUAACAGAAAACAACCCGUGGCUCUGAUACCACUGUUGGGUUUUGAGCAUUCUAACACUUCCUAAGUGUACAUGCAACCCUAAAUACCUUGGAUCUAUGUUUUCUCUAUUAUACAUGCAAAUAAGAACUUCCAAGGUAUUAUCCUAAUCUAGCAUAUAAAACAAUGGAUAUAGUAGGAUAGAAUACAUACCUUUUUGGUGUAGUAAGUCUUCAUGAAGCUUGAGUGCUUAGUGCCCCAAGUGUGACACCUCAAAUGGAAUCACAAUCAUCAAAACACUUGGAAUGACUUGAGAGAAUUCUACACUCAUCAAAAUCGGCUAGCCCUUUCUUCACUAUCUCUAGUGGCCGAUUUUUCCUCAAUAAUAAGAUGCUUAUAUAGUUACACAAUUAGGGUAAACUCUUAAUUGUCAUGGCUUUCCAUUUCCUUGGAUCCAUGGGUACAAAUACACCAUGGAGCAUCCAUGGACCAUCCUAUGGGUUUUAGCCCAACUUGAUUAUCCAUGGAGCAUUAGCCCACUAUACAAGUAUGGAUGAUUUACACAAUCAACCCAUAUAUUUAAUUAGUCUUCUUUUGAUCACUUAAUUAAUCCUAGAUUAAUUCUUGAUCAAUACUAAUUAAAUAAUCUUAUUAUUCUUAUUAUUAAUAUACUAGAACUUAUAAUAUAUUAAUAACCAUAAGUGUCUUAUUUCUCUCAUUCAAGUGCAUGAUGGUAUGCAACCCAAAUGGACCAUGCCGGGUCGGGUCAAGUCUUACCAAAUAUAGUUAUGGACUUAGACAUUAAUCCAACAAUGGUAUCCUUCAAAAUCAGGAUUUUUCAUUCAAGAUGUAGCACCUGGUUCUUGGUGACUCAUUGGGAGCCUCGGCCGUUGAGGCUAUGACAUGGCCAGACUUUGUGACCCGGUUCAGAACGGAGUUCGCACCUGCAUUGGAGCUCUAGUAGUUAGCCAGGGAGUUUUUGGAUAUGAGACAGACUACGGAGACUGUGGCGGAAAUCACCGCCAAGUUCCGGGAGAGGGCGUUGCUGGUGCCCCAGUAUGCGGGAGAUGAGGAUAUGAGGAGGAAUCGUUAUCAUGACAUGUUGCGAGCCGACAUUCGGGAGCAUGUUAGUUUUUCAGCUUGCCCUACCCUGGAUUCCAUGAUUGCUAGGGCAAAGGAGAGGGAGAUCGAUCUGGAGCAUGUCCGGAAGAGGAAGGUAGAGGAGGGGCAGACGACUAGGGCUUCGGGGAAGAAGCCCAAAGGAUCAGAUGGUAGGCCGAAAGGCCAGUCAGGACCAGACCGCUGCAGGAAAUGCGGCAGGCCACAUGAGGGGGCGUGUAGAUUGGGAUCGUUGCGGUGCUACAAUUGCGGCAAGACGGGGCACUUCAGCAGGGAUUGUACCGCCCCUGCACCGGUUAUUCAGACGUCCGAGUUGCUGUGUUUCCACUGCAACCAGUGGGGCCACAAGAAGACCAAUUGCCCCCAGUUGACAGCAACAACGCCAGUGAAGGCGCCGACUCCAGUGACCCUGUGGAUUACUGAUGUCCAGCAGGUCAAGGCUGAGGCUCCAGUGGUGAGGAGUCGGGCCUUCCAAUUGACUACCGAGGAGGCACGCGCUGCACCCGGUGUGGUGACGGGUAUGACUUCUUAUUUAUGCUUUUAUGUUAAGCUGCUGUGAUUUUGAUAUGAUAUGUAUGUGCUCUGUUUAGGACCGACGGUUAGGUCAGCACCCCAGAAUGGCUUGACGUGGGUAGGUCAGCACCCCAGAAUGGCUUGACAUGGGUAGGACGACACCCUAGAAUGGCCGCAAGGGUAGGGCGGCACCCUAGAAUGGCCGUACCGGGUAGGUCGGGCACCCCAGAAUUGCCCGACAGUAUAUAUGCUAUGUGAUUGUAUGGUAUGUGGUACAAUGGGGGAACUCACUAAGCUUCGUGCUUACAUUUUACAGUUUUGGUUUCAGGUACCUCUUCAGCUAAGGGUAAGGAGUUGGCACGGUAGCGACACAUCAUACACACACUCUUUGUUUUCCGCAUGAUGGAUAUUCUGGGAUUGUACUCUAACAUGUUACUAAUUUUAUGACUUGGGUUUUCAGACAUGAUACAUUGUUUUAUGAGAUGAUUCGAUUUCACAAUACUUUAUUAUGAAUGUUUUUAUGAGUCAGCUAAUUAAAAUGAAAAUUUUGGACUUGAAAAUUGGGUCGUUACAAGUUGGUAUCAGAGCCCUGGUUUGAGGGAUUCGGACACACCCUUGGGAGUGUCUGGACUCAAAUCGAGGGAUUAAAAGAUUUUUACAAGAAAAAUGGUUUCCUAAAAGCUAAGAUAAAAGAUUUUUGGGAAAGAACAAAGUGUGUGAUGUGUGCAACCGGCCGAGCUCAAGUAAGUAUUCCCCAAAGUACCCAUACAAGUUUAUAUUAUGUUUAUCAGUUUCAGUAGAACAACAUGCUAGAAUAGGACUAAGGAUCUAGGAAUGAUGCCUUAUGUGUCUACUUUAUGUGCUUCAGAUUAUGAGAAUUGCAUGCUAGUAUUGAGUAGACAGUAAUAGGAUAGCCUGUUUAGAUUAUGCCUGGUAGUAUGAGCUCAACAUUAUAUGCUGGUACAGUUUCUCGUUAGGAGAAUAGAGUUGCUUGAGUAGUUUCUUGUGUCCGAAUGCUACUUGCUUCGUGCUUGUAGGGCUCUGAAUGAUGGGAGUUAGCCAUUAGGUGAGUACGUCGCGUCACAUGUGAUUAGGAUUGAAUAAUCUUAGAGUGCUGGAUAUGGUCCUAUUGCGCAGCUCUCGUUUGAGUCUAACCGUUGUAGGGACGAGUCUUUUACUUGAAGGAUUAUCUGAGCCCCGUCACAUGUGAUGGUAUUCAGGUGGUGGCUAAUUGGCAUCACAAGGAAGCCUUUAGCAGUUGAGGACCGGUUUGGGUGGAGUCAGAGGUUCCCUAAGGUAAGCCUAGGAUGAGAGUAGCAGAGAUCAGCAGUGGUAAAAGGGACUUGGUGGAGUCAAGGCAGUACUUGAGGAAAGUACGGAUAGAUGUGGAAGGUAGUAUGGGACUGUACUACAUAAAACAGAGGAUUCGUACUCAAAUUAAGGAAGGUUGAGGCAAGACCAAGGAACUUGUGAUGGGUGUGAUCCCUCUAGAUGUACCAGUAUCAUGGACGGUUGUCAUGAUGUAUUGUAGAAUGGUGGUACUACGUCCGAGGCUAGCUGUUGGCAGCUCAGGAUAGGGAUCGGGUUCAGGUUCAGGCUCCGAACCAGUGGAUGAGAGGCUACGCGAGUUCAUCGUGUCUGAGACAUCCUUGAUGCGACCCCGGUCAUCUUUGGGUCGAUCAAGAAAGGGAUUGUUUAGCUGAUGGAGGAUUGCCUUAGGGCGUUCAGGAGUGACAUGGCGACCAGCCAGUCAGGAUCCCGCACACUGUCCUUUAAGGACUUCAGGGUCAGUGGUGCAUCAGAUUUCCAUGGGGCGAAGGACCCCAUUGCUGCGAGACGAUGGAUUGCGGACAUUGAGUCAACGCAGUUGACCGGCUUCUGCCUCGAGGGGUUGAAGGUGAGAUAUGCAGCAGGGUGUUUGAGAGACAGGGCUAGAGAUUGGGGGCAGUCUAUUGGUGACUCAUUGGGAGCCUCGGCUGUUGAGGCUAUGACAUGGCCAGACUUUGUGACCCGGUUCAGAACGGAGUUCGCACCUGCAUUGGAUCUCUAGUAGUUAGCCAGGGAGUUUUUGGAUAUAAGACAGAGUAUGGAGAUUGUGGCGGAGAUCACCGCCAAGUUCCGGGAGAGGGCAUUGCUGGUGCCUCAGUAUGCGGGAGAUGAGGAUAUGAGGAGGACCCGCUAUCAUGACAUGUUGCAAGCCGACAUUCGGGAGCAUGCUAGUUUUUCAGCUUGCCCUACCGUGGAUUCCAUGAUUGCUAGGGCAAGGGAAAGGGAGAUCGAUCUGGAGCAUGUCCGGAAGAGGAAGGUAGAGGAGGGGCAGACGACCGGGGUUUCGGGGAAGAAGCCCAAGGGAUCAGAUGGUAGGCCGAAAGGCCAGUCAGGACCAGACCGCUGCAGGAAAUGCGGCAGGCCACAUGAGGGGGCGUGUAGAUUGGGAUCGUCGGGGUGCUACAAGUCCGGCAAGACGGGGCACUUCAGUAGGGAUUGUACCGCCCCUGCACCGGUUAUUCAGACGUCCGAGUUGCUGUGUUUCCACUGCAACCAGUGGGGCCACAAGAAGACCAACUGCCCCCAGUUGACAGCAGCAGCGCCAAUAAAGGCGCCGACUCCAGUGACCCUGUGGAUUACUGAUGUCCGGUAGGUCAAGGCUGAGGCUCUAGUGGUGAGGAGUCGGGCCUUCCAGUUGACUACCGAGGAGGCACGCGCUGCAUCCGGUGUGGUGACGGGUAUGACUUCUUAUUUAUGCUUUUAUGUUAAGCUGCUGUGAUUUUGAUAUGAUAUGUAUGUGCUCUGUUUAGGAUUGUUCCUGAGUCUUCGGGCAUGUUGGAUUUCCCUCUAGAGGUUGAGAUUGCGGACGACCGGUCAGUGCAAGAAUAUGAGGUCUUCCGAGAUUGUGUUUUGAGAUUGUUUGAGGCGUUACCUGGUAGACCUGGUUCCUAUUCCGUUGAGAGGGAACAAGGUGAUUAUAGGCAUUGAUUGGUUGAGCCCCAAUGGGGCAGUGAUAGAUUGCGCACAACAGUUGGUGCGAGUCAGGACCCCUGGAGGGGGAGAGUUAGUGAUUUAGGGCGAGAGGCCACAACGAGGGCCAACUUUAUGUUCGACAAUGAGGGCAAGGCGUUACAUUCAGCUGGGUUGCACAUGAUAUGUCGCUUAUGUCACGGAUACCCGGGAGGCGGGUGAGGUGACGGUGAGCAACGUUCCGGUGGUGCGAGACUACGCGGAUGUGUUCCAAGAGGAGCUUCCUGGGAUACCUCAGGAGCGACAAGUGGAGUUCAGGAUCGACCUAGUCCUUGGUGCGGCUCCGGUAGCCAAGGCACUGUAUCAGUUGGCUCCUCCUGAGAUGUAGGAUUUGUCUACACAGCUGCAGGAGCUGUUAGACAAGGGAUUCAUUAGACCGAGUAGUUCUCCCUAGGGAGCCUCGAUUAUGUUUGUGAAGAAGAAGGACGGGUCGCAUUGGAUGUGUAUAGAUUAUUGGGAGCUGAAUAAGGUAACGGUGAAGAACCGUUACCCACUCCCGCGAAUCGAUGAUCUCUUUGACCAGCUAAAGGGAGCAUCCUGGUUCUCUAAGAUUGAUCUGCAUUCAAGAUAUCAUUAGAUGAGGGUCAGAGAGGAGGAUGUACAGAAGACUGCGUUCUGGACGCGCUAUGGCCAAUACGAGUUCGUGGUGAUGCCCUUUGGGCUCACCAAUGCUCCUGCCGCGUUCAUGGACCUCAUGAACCGCGUGUGUAGACCGAUGUUAGACCAGUAUGUGAUAGUGUUUAUUGAUGAUAUCUUGGUUUACUCUAGUACGCAGGAGGAGCACGAGGAGCAUCUGCGAGAGGUUCUGGAGACUUUGAGAAGGGAGAACUUGUAUGCUAAGUUCUCCAAGUGUUAGUUCUGGUUGUGCGAGGUGCAGUUUCUCGAGCAUCUUUUCAACCAGAACGGGAUAUCGGUGGACCCAGCCAAAGUGGAGGUUGUGAUGAGAUGGGAGGUUCCGAGGUCUCCAUCUGAGAUUCGGAGUUUCCUAGGAUUAGCCGGCUACUAUUGGAGAUUCAUCCAGGAUUUCUCCAAGAUAGCCGUACCCCUGACCAGGCUAACAAGGAAAGUCGUGGUCUUUUUUGGGGGCCUGAGCAGCAGGCCGUAUUCGAGGCACUGAGACAGAGAUUGUGUGAGGCGCCCAUCUUAGCCCUGCCAGAGGGCAUGGAGGAUUUUGUUGUGUACUGCGAUGCGUCCAUAUCGGGUUUGGGAGCAGUACUGAUGUAGAGAGGGAAUGUCAUCACCUACGCUUCGAGGCAGCUGAAGCCUCAUGAGGCGAAUUACCCGACACAUGAUCUGGAGCUAGGGGUUGUUGUGUUCGCCCUCAAGAUUUGGCGUCAUUACCUCUAUGGGGUUUGUUGUACCAUCUACAUGGACCACAAGAGUUUGAGGUACCUCAUGGAUCAGCCGAAUCUAAACAUGAGGCAACGUCGGUGGUUGGAUGUGGUGAAGGAUUACAAUUGCGAGAUCCUUUACCACUCGGGGAAGGUCAAUGUGGUGGCCGAGGCACUUAGCCGCAAGGCAGCGCCUAUCAGGGAUAUCUGUCUGAGGAUGAUAGUGGUGACUCCACUGUUGGAGCAGAUUCGAGAGGCCCAACAGGAGGCCAUGAAGGAGGAACAUCGGAAGAGUGANGCCAGGUUUCCUCCUUCGAUUACGAUAGCCGAGGACUAUUGACCCUACACCGCAGGGUGUGGGUGCUGUACCACGGGGGUGUGCACCGGGUUCUGAUGGAGGAGGCGCACAAAUAUCGAUUCUCCAUUCAUCCUGGGGCGACGAAGAUUUAUAGGGAUCUUCGUCUGGACUAUUGGUGGCCCUGCAUGAAGCGGGAUGUAGCAUGGUACGUGGAGCGGUGCUUGACCUGUAGGAAGGUCAAGGCCGAGCGCCAGAGGCCACACGACAAUAUGUAGCCGUUGGAUAUCCCGCUGUGGAAAUGGGAAGACAUUAAAAUGGAUUUUAUCUUAAAGCUUCCCAGGACCGCACGAGGAGUGGAUUCGAUUUGGGUCAUCGUCGAUCGAUUGACCAAGAGCGCCCAUUUUAUCCUGAUUCAGGAAAGUAUUUCGGCCGAAAGGUUGGCCGAUAUCUAUAUCAGGGAGGUAGUGGCGUGGCACGGGGUGCCAGUUUCGGUGAUUUCAGAUAGGGAUGUGCGGUUCACUUCCAGGUUUUUGAAGAAGUUUCAUGACGAGCUGGGUACUCGUCUGCAUUUUAGCACCGCCUUUCACCCGCAGACGGAUGGUCAGAGUGAGUGGACCAUCCAGAUUCUGGAGGAUAUGCUGCGAGCAUGCAUGUUAGACUUCGGAGGUAGUUGGGAUACCUACCUUCCAUUGGCAGAGCUCUCCUAUAACAAUAGUUAUCAUGCGAGCAUUGACCACCCUCCCUUCGAGAUGAUGUAUGGGAGGAGGUGCAGGACCCCGAUAUGUUGGGGCGAGGUUGGACAGAGGGUAAUGGGGAGCACCGAAGUAUUGCUCAAGACGACAGAAAGGAUUCAGCAGGUCCGGAGCAGGCUUCAGACUGCUCAGAGUCGGCAGAAAAGGUAUGCUGAUAAGCGCCGAUCAGACCUGGAGUUCCAGGUCGGGGAUAUGGUUCUCCUGAAGGUGUCGCCAUGGAAGGGCGUCAUCCGAUUUAGGAAACGGGGCAAGUUGGGCCCUAGAUACAUUGGACCGUUCAGGGUCUUAGCCCGGGUAGGCAAGGCGGUGUACUGGUUGGAUCUGCCAGCCAAACUCAACCAGAUCCACAACACUUUCCACGUCUCCCAGCUACGGAAGUGCCUGGUGGACGACUCAGCAGUGGUACCCUUAGAGGAUAUUCAGGUCGAUGACAGCCUGAAUUACAUCGAGCGACCUAUGGCAAUCCUCGAAUGGAAGUCGAAGGAUAUGAGGAACAAGAUGGUGGAGCUCGUGAAGGUGCAAUGGUAGCACCAGAAAGGCUCGGAAUGGACCUGGGAGCCGGUGGAUGAGAUGAUGGAGCAUUACACAGAGCUAUUCCAGGAACGAGCAGCAGACUUCGAGGACGAAGUCUAAAAUAAGUGGAGGAGAUUUGUAGCACCUGGUUCUUGGCAUGUAUUUUUAUUUAAGUAUUUUGCAUUUUUGACCUGGGACUUGGCGAGUUGAAGGACCAACUCGCCGAGUAAAAGCGGGAUGGGACGCGGGAUUUAAGUGAUGGACUCAUCGAGUCGGGUCCCAGACUUGACGAGUAGGCUCUGACUGGACAAAACCCUAAUCUGAGGGUUUGCACCCUAUUUAAUCAUCUCUUUCAGCCACCACUUGUCCCUAUUGCUCCCAGAAACCCUCCAUAGCAAACCCUAAGUGUUUUGGUGCAAGAUCUAAGGCUUUUGAGUGAUUUUUGUAGGUUUUGACCUCAAGGAAGAAGGAAGAGCAUAGAAGGAUCAAGAGGAGACUGAAGGAUUCGAUUUUGGUUCAUCAUUUGUAGUCUUUGAAAGUUAUAAAGUCUGUACCUUGCUUGGUUGUUUGUUAGAUCCCUUUUUGGGGAAGAUUUAGGGCUUUUUAAGCCAUAUGAGGUAGCCAACCAUGAUUGCAAACAUGGUUGGGGGUCAAGACUUCGGAUCUAAGUCUUGGGAGGAGUCAUAAGGCAGAUUUCGGUUGCUUUUGCACCCAAGGAAGGUCCCAUGCAACAUAAGAGCCAUUUUAGAGCCUUUUGGGCUCAAAAGUCCCAUGCAUGCACGUAAAGUUCGAAACUUUACAUGCUAGAUCGAGCUUAGGGGCUUGGAUCUAUCGUUUGGUCAAAGGUUAUACAUCAGAAAUCGAACAUUUAGGGUGUGGACGUUAUUGACUCGGUGAGUCCGUUCUUGGGACUUGACGAGUCCAAGGCAUAAAGUCCCAUAUCUGUUGAGGGUCAAAAGAACUCAGUUGGGCGUUAGAAGGGUUGUAGAAGGUCUGAAGGAGUGACCCAAUUUAUUGGACUUAGCCUUAGACCUGGAUUUCAUGGGAUUCGACGAGUGCUAGAACAGACUCGACGAGUCCAAGGCAAUCUCCUUAUGGUUGAAGAUGAACUCGACGAGUUGUUCAUACAACUCGGCGAGUCAAGGUCAGAACUUGUUCAUCAGAUGAAGGUGAACUCGACGAGUUGUUCGUACAACUCGGCGCGUCGGAUGAAGGUUCAUUCGAUGUUCAUAUAGAGGAGGAACUCGUCAAGUCGUUUCCAAACUCGACGAGUCGAGUUGUGGAUAUGGACGGGUAAAGGGUUAGGGACUCGACGAGUUAACAGCCCAACUCGGCGAGUCGGGUCAACUGGCAGUUGACUUUGACUUGGACUUGGUUGGGGGUAAAAUAGUCAUUUUACCACAAGAGUAGAUAUCAGUUUCUGAUUGAGUGUUUUGUGGGGAUUAUAGCCGGAGGAUUUCCGGAGCAGCAGCAGACAGAGGUUUCCGGCACAGAUUAUCAGCAGCUACUCGUUCGAGGUGAGUUACCUUCCAGUAGCGGUGGGUCUACGGCCAUAAUGCCGGCCCACCAGUAAGAGUUGUGUGAUUAGAUGAUUGUCUUUGUGAUAUCAUCUAGGUUUGCUACUACCUGAUAUGUUAUAUGCUGGCAUGAUAUGUUAUAUGUGAUAGUAGUAGAGUUCGGUUGUUAGGACCGAAGGGUAGGUCAGACACCCCAGAUAUGUCUGACAGUAUGUGAUGAUAUGUUUAUAUGCUGGCAUGAUAUGUUAUAUGUGAUAGUGGUAGUAGGAGGGGAAUAGUCCUCAAGUUCGGUUGUUAGGACCGAAGGGUAGUUCGGACACUCCAGAUAUGUCUGAUAGUAUCUUUAUGUUACAAUAUAUGUGAUAGUAGUAGUGUGGGGUGGAAUAGUCCCCGAAGGUCGGUUGUUAGGACCGACGGGUAGGUCAGCACCCCAUAAUGGCUUGACAUGGGUAGGUCAGCACCCUAGAAUGGCUUGACAUGGGUAGGACGGCACCCCAGAAUGGCCGCAAGGGUAGGUCGGCACCCCAGAAUGGCCGUACCGGGUAGGUCGAGCACCCUAGAAUUGCCCGACAGUAUGUAUGCUAUGUGAUUGUAUGGUACGUGGUACGAUGGGGGAACUCACUAAGCUUCGUGCUUACAGUUUACAGUUUUGGUUUCAGGUACCUCUUCAGCUAAGGGGAAGGAGUUGGCACGGUAGCAGCACAUCAUACACACACUCUUUGUUUUCCGCAUGAUGGAUAUUCUGGGAUUGUACUCUGACAUGUUACUAAUUUUAUGACUUGGGUUUUCAGACAUGAUACAUUGUUUUAUGAGAUGAUGUGAUUUCACGGUAUUUUCUUAUGAAUGUUUUUAUGAGUCAGCUAAUUAAAAUGAAAUUUUUGGACUUGAAAAUUAGGUCGUUACACAAACUUUUUCGGAUUCAGAUAUGGGAGGAUGUACUCUUUAUAGGAAAAGUACAAGUGGCGGAUGUGAGUUAUUGGAUGGGAAACUUGUAAGUUGACAAUCGAAAAAGAAAACAUGUGUUGCAAUUUCAACUGCUGAAGCUGAGUAUGUUACAGCUGCCGCUUGCACUUCGCAAAUCAUAUGGAUCCAGAGCCAAUUGCGUGAUUAUGCAAUUAACAUGAAGAAGAUUCCAUUGUAUUGUGAUUCACAAAGUGCUAUACGCAUUUGUCAUAAUCCAAUACAACAUUCGAAAACUAAACACAUUGCACUUCGUUAUCAUUUUAUUAAGGAUCAUGUGGAAGAUGGAAAUAUUGUAGUUCAUUUUGUGAAAACAACUGAUCAGCUUGCUGAUAUUUUCACAAAACAAUUGGAUGAAAAAUCAUUUGUUAGAAUUUUGACAGGAUUGGGCAUGAUUGAAUCAAGUUAUGUUCCAGGACUAAUUUCGAAAGAAUGACAAAGAAGGAAGUUGCCAAAGUGUCGAUUCAGAGACAAUGCAGAAUGAUUCAGAGUCUUAUAGUAUUAAUCAUUCAGAGGUUACUGGUCAUGUUAAGCGCUUCGACACACUUCGUUUUCGUAAAUUGGAGUUGAAAAUUUUCGUUAGUUUGGUACAUUCUUAAAAUUUUCGUUAGUUUGUCUUUAUUUUCGAAAAAUUGAAAAACACAAAAAUAUUUUCAUUUGUUUGUAUUUCUUGUCGAAAAAAAAUAUCAAAAAGAUUUUAUUUUGUUAUUUGUUUUAAUUUUAGAAAAACAUAAAAUCACAAAAAUAUUUUUCUUUCUUUUCAAAAAUAUAAAAUCCAAAAAGAUUGUUGUUUCUUUGAUCUUUCUUAAGUGCAGGUUCUCACGAAUAUUUUUGAGGGUCAUGCUUGCUUUUCUAAGGGAAGGUAUGUUUUCAAAAUUUCAUUGUACUAGUUAAGUUGUCCCUAGAAGCAUGCUGCAACAUGUAGACCCAAGCCUCCAGUGACUCAAUGUGUGAUUUAGAAAGCCUUAAUGAAAUUUUUUGUUCCGAAAGUUUCUUCCCAAUAAGGCUUGCAUUCACAUUAGUCAACUGAGCUACCUUACUCUUCUCAAAUGAGAUAAGAGUUUACUGUUUGGUCCAUUCAUAACAAAGGUCAAUCGAUUCUUGAAUCAUUUUUUUAUCUUAAAUUUCUGUCACUUUUCACACACAAUGACGUAUGUCCAAGAGGUCAUUGAACAAUCCAAUCAUGACUUAGACAUAUCAAAACUCUGUGUUAAUGAUCUUGAUUCAUGAGGCCAUGAUGAAAGUGAAACCCAAUUUUCUAACAAAUUAAGGAAUUGACGAGGAACUAUGUUCCAGAUUUUCACGAAACAUUUGUUUCAAUACCAAAAAUUUUGAUACUCUAAAUCAUAUUCUUUGUUUUGAGUGGUCUUGAUCAAAUGUUCGAAGCCUACGACAUUUGUUUCCCAAUAGGAUCCAGUUACAAAAUUUAUUUUCUGCAUAUGAUCUCCAUGUGAGUAUCAAUUCUUAACCUUUGUCACUUUCAAAUAUUUUCCAAAGCAUACUUGUCACUGACUGCACUGGUCAAACAAGUAAUUUCUGUUGCAAUUAUUCACCUUAUGUUAAGGAUGAAAUGUAACGAACUUUUUGAGCUACCCACGAAGCCUUGAAAAAGAAGCCCUUUGAUACUUAUCUAUAAGUUUUCAAUUGUAAUUCAUGGGAAACCACACAAGCAAUUGAUUAUCUCUCUUGAUAAUUAACGAAGUAACCUUUUCCUGGGGUUUAACAACUUUCGUGUUAAAAUUUUAUUUUUGACAUCACAGAUCCAAAUUUUUCGUUAAAAUUGAUUCUUAUCUUAUUUCAUUGGCACAUUGCACUCACGAAAUCCUUGAGGUUACGAGUAAUACCAACUCAGGCUGAAGAUUUCACAAGACUGGAAAAUGAAUUCGUUUCUAAGCCCAAAAACGAAAGAGGCUAACCUCCAUGCCGAAGUUUUUCGAUCUUAUCCACUUGGUACUCAUGUACAGUUUUGAUGUAACCAUUUGGCAACUUGUUCUGAGUUUCAAGGUAUUUUAUAUGACAUGGCGUGUAUAACGGCCAGUGGUGCAAUUUUCAAGGAAGGAUGUGGCAAACUCAUUAAUGAAAUCAUUUACAAUUCUUUUGGGGUUACAUAUAAAAGGAAAUUAUUUUUCCUUUGAUCAUUACGCUUUCAAAAACUCUCAGACGAACAAAAGCCCUAAUUCUCAAUUUCUCCAAAUUCUCUUCAAGAUUUCAACAAUGGCUGCUACCCAAAACACCUCUACUGACAAAGUUCUUUCACAACCAAUCAUGAAGAUCCAAACUACUAAUUACCAGGUUGAGGGUGAUAUUUCACUAUACCCUGAGGAGUUGAAGAUGUUGAUAGUUGCUCUUCAAAAUUCUGGUCUUGCUACUGUUUUGUUCGACUAUUUCGCAACUCCGAUAACAUGGUUAUCCAUGGAUGCUUCAACUGCUUCCUACAACAAGGCUACAUAUGUGAUUACUUUUAAUCUUGUGAAUGAGAAAUGGAUUCGUCUGACCAAGAAGAUGUUCACUAAGUUCUUGAAUAUCCCCAAUUCUCUACCAUUCUUCAAACCAAAUAAUCAUCAUAUCAUGUUUAUGUUCAACGAGAUGGGACAUCAGACCCUACUCACAAAAAUCAUUGAUUUCAAGAAGUCCGGAUUACCAUGUAUAUGGAAUUUCUUCUUUGGCAUUUAUCUUCGGUGGCUAACUGGAAAAAGUGUUAGUCUCGACAAAGGAAGACUUGAAGUCUACGCAAUGGUGAUAGGAUUAUACUACGAUCUCAGUGUUGACUAUGCAACUAAAUUAUGGACGGAGUUUGUGAAAAGCCUGGAGAAUACUAAUAUGGUGAAGGGAAUCUCCUGUGCGAGGUAUUGGAGUCUCAUUCUUGAGAAAAUUUACGAAAAAGAGGGAAUUCAAGUUCCUGAUUGUAACGCCUGUAGAUCAGGGCUAGUCAAUUUAGAGACGAUAAACAUCAAAAAUAACUUUUUGAUGGAAGAUUAUCUAGAAGGAUUAAUCUUAAUUAAGUUGUAGUAUAUGUUACAAGGAUUCCAUACAUAUAAAGAACUCCGAAAUCCGAGUUAUAACGAAGAAGUUAUGACCCGUCGAAGUUUCGCGACAGAAUCAUCAUGACACAGCGCGACAUAAAUAGUGAAUUUACGUUUGAGCGAUAUUUGGCCUUAUCAAUCUAAAUGAAAGUCGUAGAAUACGUUAAACCGAGAGCGUGCGUAAAAAGAAUGCCCAAAUCUGACUUUGUAUGAGGAAGUUAUGAUUUUUCUAAGUUUCAGCUUAGCAGUAUGUAGCCCAAAGUUCGACUUUGAGAUCGAGCGGUUUUUAGCCGAAACAAUCUAAACGAGAAUUGAAGAUCUCAUCAAUGGCAGUUCAACGGUAAAUAGACAGAUGAAAACGGACGUCGGAUGAAGAAGUUAUGAAUUUAUAACGGAGUUUUCAUGUCCCGGCUUACUAAAAAUAAUAUAUUUAUAAUAUAUUAAAAAUAAAGUCAAAAUUAGCCAAUGGAGUCUAAAGGAGAGUUGUAGAGCAUAAUCUCACCUACGCGUGGAUAUAAAGAAUGUCAAAAACGAAGCUCGUAUGCGAAAGUUAUGAAUUUUUGAAGUUCGGGGCGUGAACCCCAAGGCUGUGUCAAAGCUCAUGAGGUGAACAUAUGUAGUUCAUGAGGUGAGCCUAGCUCACGAGGUGAGAAUUAGUGGCUCACGAGGUGAACAUAUGAUGGAUCUCUUCCAGGGCAAGUGGUCAUGACGAACGCAAUGACGUAUCGAGCUCACGAGGUGAGUAUAUGUAGCUCACGAGGUGAACAUUAGAAACUCACGAGGUGAACCCAAGAAAUUCACCCUAUAAAUUGAAUUCAAGGGGCAGCUGAGUUUGGUUGCUCAUAUCUUACUCUCCCAUUCCCGAUACUCUUUCUACUCCCUAUUUUAACCACCCGAAGCCCCGAUAUCAUUCCCGAGCCCCAAAGCAAGUCCUUAAGCCCUGAAGAUCCAGAGGAGUAAAGUUUCCGAGCCGAAGCUCUCCCCGCGAGAAGCCAAUUUUUGUGAAUAUCUUCCAGAUCUACCGAAGAAUACUACUUCUACAAGUCGUAACGCUGUCCGAUCAUCUUCUGAUCAAGUGAGUGUAUAGUCACUUUCUUCUUACACAUAAAUAUUAAGUCUUUGCUAUGAAAUACGUGUUAUGUGUGUAUAUAUUUGUUGUUUAUUUGAGAUAAUUGUGGAAUGGAUAAAUUAUAUAGGUUUUAAUGAGUUAAACAGUAUACGUAUUUUGUAUCUACGAAUAUGUUGGGUAGAGCAUGGGUAGAUGAGAUUGUUGGUAUGGGAUAAAAGAUGAUUUGGAUCAUAAGAUAAAAGGAUAAAGAGAUAAACUUGUUAUAGAUUCAGGAGUAUGGAUUAGAUCAAGAGGUUAGUUUUAGAUUUAGGAAUAUAGAUUAGGUAAUGAGGUAAAUUUUAGAUCUGGGAGUACGGAUUAUGUAUUUUUGAACUAAGUGUUCAUCCGAUAGGGUAUCAUGUGCAUAGUCCCUUUCAUGGACAUAAUUGUAAUAAAAGUAUUGAUUAAAGUAUUAAUUAUAUAUGUAUGUGAAGUAUUUGUUAUUGCCCGAAAUACGUGUUAUAUAUAUAAUUGAUAAUAUACAGCGUACAAACCAGUUAUGGUCCAAUAUGUGUUAAGAUGUGUAUAUAUGAUAUUAUUGCUUAAAACUUUGUGUUAAGUAUACUCAUAGUUAGCGUGUCCAAAUGGAGAUAGUAUCGAAAAUUGAUUAUAGGCAUCGUAGGCUUUCCUAGUGAUGGGUUAAGGCUUAAAUAGGGAUGUUUAGUUCCAUUAAGUUUGGACAUUGGAUAGCCUCUUAUUAAGAGUACGUGUGUUGCGAGAUUGAUGAUUGGUGGAGUACGUCCUACGUACAAAAGUACAUUUUAUGUACGAAGUCCUUUUCAAAGCUCUGUGUCUUGGGUGCUGCUUGUGCCAAGGUACUAUUAUGUUCUCGGGUAUGAGUCUUUCGCAUAACAGAGUACUAUAAUGUGCCAGAAGUACUAUCAUGUACAAAGUCUUUUUGACAAUUUUGUGUGUCAGUUACAGGGGCGUACGGGAAUACUCUAUUAGUAUUUUCCCAUACUUUUAUUUUCAGAGAGCUUUGGAGUCAGCGUUUCUUUUAUGAAGUGAUCGACUGAGCUUCAUAUGUCAGCGUUUUCUUUCACGAAGUAAUUAAGGGAACUUCAUAGACUUCCUAAUAAAGUGUGUUGGUAAUAGACCACUUCUAGGUAUGUCUGGUGUUAUAUUGCUGGAUAGGGUGCGUCUGGGGGUGAAAUACCUCAUGUAUUUAGACCACAGCCUAGGCAUUAGUCGGUGUUUCCAUUUCCGAUGCCGGAUAGGGUGAGUCUGGGGGUUCAGACCACAGCCUAGGCUUUAGUCAGCGUUUCCAUUGCUGGAUAGGGUGCGUCUGGGGGUUAUAUACCUCACGAUAUUCAGACCACAGCCUAGGCAUUGAUAACUUACCAUGACUUAACUGUCUUGUGGUUCUUUCUUUUACGAACGAAGGUUCGUGGUGAAAGUUAUUCCAUUCCCCUCAAUUGAAGUCUUUAUUGAUCCACGUUUGCUGCCAUGGAAUUUCCUAAGCAACUUCGUCAGUUUGUGGUUCAUAUCGAUUCCUUAGGCUAGAUCACGUAAGAUCAUUGUAUAGGGUCAGUAUGUGGGGAUCGACGGGAUGGGAUAUAUUGUUUUAGAAAUAUGAUUUAUAUGUGUUUAUAAUAUUAGUGGUUUUGCAGGAUCGAGAUAUACUUUAUUAUCACAUUGUUUGACUAAGAGCUUUCCUACUCUAUGUUCCUUAGGUGAUUGGGUUCACCAGGGAUAUUCGAACUAAGUGUUCAUUAGAUAUCUGAACUUAGUAUUCAUCAGGGAUAUUUGAACUAAGUGUUUGUGAACUAGGUGCUCAUUGGGUAAUAUUAGAGCUAAGUGUUCAUUAGGUGUUCUUGAACUAGGUGUUCAUUAAUUAUUGUGAACUGCGUGUUCACCAGAGGUAAUCUAAGAACCUUGGCAGCACUGGACUUUGUGCCAGUUCCUUAGGGAAAUCCUUAGGAAUGAAUGGGAGAAGGGUAAUCGGAUCUUAGGAUAAAUCUUUAAUAAAUAAGUAGAGAUAAUGGGGGUGGGUAAUUGGAUUGAUUGUUUGAUAAUUGAAUAUAAUAAUUAUAUUAUUGUGGGUUGAAAACCCUAUAUGCUCACCAGGCUCCCAUGCCUGACCCUUUCAGUUUUCUUUAUAUUACAAGUUAUGGUACGAGAGCAUAAAUUGGCUGACAUAAUGAGAGAUUUUGGAUUAUAAGCCAGUAGUUAUGAAUAACUAUUGUAAGGUCUAUUUUUGUUCUGUUUAUGCUUAUGGUCUGUAUUGAACAUGACAUCCCGAGAUUUUGUUAUAUAAUGAAAAUACAUUUAUUUAAAGAAAUGCUUUGAUAAAUUCUUAUCAUAUUUUGUUUUGGGAACAAAUUCUGCAACUGUUUUCUUUAAAAGAUUAUUCUGAUUUUAAAAAUAAAGCAUAAACAAAUCGGUCUCUUCUGGCUGUGAAAUUGUGGAUGUCACACUGAUAAUGAAGAAAAGGUGGACUUUACAAAGUAUCACUUUCCAAAGUCAGUCGAGGAUGAUUCGAAAAUUUUCCAUACAAUUGCCAGAAUUCCAGAUGACAUGUUGAAGAAGGUUGAUCCAACAAAUAAAGUGUUUGUAAACUAUUUGAAGACCAUCAAACCUGAUGUCGAAACUGGGGUGUUACUUGAAGUUGAUGCAGGGUCUUCAAAACAAUCAAAGAAAUCGAAAAAGAGUGAUGGUGUUGCUCUUGUUUCUGAAAGCCAUAAAAGGCUAACUUUCCAAAGAAAAAUGAUACUGAUAAAGUAAAGGACUUGAAGAAAGAUGUGAUAGAGAAGGCAUUGAUUAUUGCUGAAUCAUCGAAGGAAUUAGUAACUUCAAAAUUCGGUGUUUUGAAAAGAUUGAGGAAGUCAUCUAAUGAUUCAUCUUCAAUCAUACGAAAGGCUCAGUUAAAUCGAAAAGGGAUAAAGAAUCGUAAAAUACCAGCUCCUGUCUCUCCAAAGUCGAAAAAGAGAAGAGCUGAUGAUGUAGCAAAGCAUAUUUGCAUGAAGAGCAAGAAACGAAAAUUGUUGUUUCAUGACGAGUCAUUAGAAAGCGAGAUUGUACCAGAUACUCCUUUGGGAUCAACUUCUCCAAAGGCAUCUACUCCCAUCAUUUCUUCGUUAGCUUCACCAACCAUCACCAUUUUCACCACUAUUUAUAUUCCACUCGAAAUUGGUGUUACCAAGUCAGUUUCUGAGGAGGUACCCAUUUCUGACUUUCGUACAAACGUAUCUAAUACGGGUAUCGGAGUCAUUAUGAGUGUUGACAAUACGAAUCUUGUUUUUGAAGCUAUUCCUCUUAUCACUUCCUCUAUAGUUUCUUCGACUAUAGAUACUUCCUUACCUCCUUUCUGUUGGAUUAAUGUUUAAGUCCAUAACUAUAUUUGGUAUGUACUUGACCCGACCCGGCAUGGUCCAUUUGGGUUGCACUUCACCGACACAAUUUAUAUGGAUAGUCUUUUGAGAAUAGUAUAUUUAUGAUUAAUAUUAAUAUAUUAUAAGUUCUAAUAUAUUAAUAUGGAAUCAUAUUAUUUAAUUAGUAUUGAUCAAGAAUUAAUUUAGAAUUAAUUAAGUGAUCAAAAGUAACUAAUUAAAUAUGGACUCUUCUAUAUAGAAGAAUGGGCCAAGUUCAUUUAGGUUGGGCUAAGCUUUUAUGGAUAGUCCAUGGAGCUUUAAACCCAUUGAUACUAUGUAAAUGAAAGGUCAUGGGUAUUAGGGUUUACAUGGAUGUAACCCUAAUCCUUCAUAAUAUAUAAAGGGGUCCUUGGUUCACAAAAUUGGAACAAGUGUGUGAAAAUAAGAGUGGGCCAAUUUUAGUGUGCAUACAUAUUCUCUCAAGUUCUUCCAAGGUGUUUUGGUGAUUUGUGAUUCCAUUUGAGGCUUCCACACUAUUGGGGCUAAGCUCUUAAAGCUUGAAGACAUCAAGCUACAUCAAAAGGUAUGUCAUCUAACUAGAACUUUGUAGUAUAGGUGCUUCAUAAUAUGCUAGUUAGGAUGAAACCUUGGAAUAGUUAAUAUUUGCAUGUAUAAUAGAGAAAACAUAGAUCCAAGGUUUAUAGGGUUUCAUGUACACCAUAGGACUGUUAGAAUGCUCAAACCCCAAUAAUGGUAUCAGAGCCAUGGGUUGUUUUCUGUUAUAUUGAUGCAAAUGUUUUAUUUUCAAUGUUGGAAAAAAAGGAAAAAAAAGAUGACGUUNAUGACGUUUGUCAAAUUUUAAGAUAAUUACUUGUUUUUGUGAAAAACUAAUUAUUAGUAAAAUUUGAAUCAUUUGCUAUAUGAGUUGAAUUAGGUCAAAUUUAGUAAAAGAUAAAAUGAUAUGAUUAUUUUAUUAGUUGUAAAAGUUUGAUCUAAAGAGUUUUUUGAAACCUCCAUAAGUUAUGGGUAUUAAAAGGUUUAAAAAAAAUUGAUUCAAAGUUUUUUUUUUUUUUAUGGAGUUACAAAACUUGGUCUAAAUGUUUUAAAGAAUUCCAUAACUUGUUCUUAAGGUAUGGAACAUGAAAAGUUUCAUCAUAAAACAAACAUUAAACUCCAUAAGUUAUGGAAUCCAAAAGUUUUCAAGAGUUACAAAACUUGCCCUCAAGUUUUAGAAUUUGGAAAAAGUUUUUAUGAAAAAAAAGAAUUGAAUUCUAAAACUCUUGGAUUCAUAACUUAAACAAUUAAUUAAAUGGUUUUAAUUUUGAAUUUAAUAAUUGGAAUUAGGAUGUUUUAUUGAAUACUUCAAAUUAACUCUUAUGGACUUUAUUAAUAGUUAAUUAAAGCACUUAAUUAAAAAAGUAUUAUUAAAUCCAUAAAUAAAGAUAUGGUUUGAGUUUAAUUAAAUUAAAAGUUUAGUUUAAUUAAUAGAUUAAACCACCAAGUAUUUUAAAUGUCUAAAAUACACCAUUAUACUAUUUUUAGUAUUAAAAGUUUAAUAUAUUAUAUGUAUAAGAGCAAAUCGUCUUACCAUUAGUAGGCCUCAUUCACGAAGCCGGUCUAUAAGGGGGGUAUAAGGUUAUUGCCUAUAAAAUGGCAGUUUAAUGGGUGUCCACUCUCACCCACCGCUUCCUUGACUGGUGGAGGGUCGUUAGCCGAACAGGUAGGACAAGGACUAUAAUUCUCCCUUCAUUAAAAGUAUUAAUGAUAAAUACUAAGUAACUAAACUUUUUAUAAAUUCCCAAUCUUAGUUACUUAGGAAAAUGUGAAUAAGGUGCUAAUCCGUGAAAUUACACUUUGCACUUUGUUUAAGGCGUUAGUGGAGCGUGUGUGGUUAACCGACACACUAACCUGGACUUAACAAGGUAGGCAAAGGGUAACUUAAUGUCUAUCAUAGUAUCGUUGGAGCGUGUGUGCUUAACCUGCACAUCGAUUGAGGGUAAAUGUUAAGGAUACCAAGUAUAUUUGCAUGGUUACUUCACACCUUGUUUUGUGAUCCUCGACAUCCCAGUCACAAAACUUGAAGGGCACACUCGAGAUUGAAACAUGCCAUUGAAAAGUUUAAUGAAUCUCAAAAGAAUCUAGGAGUUUCAAAACCGAUUAAAACCUAAUAAUACAUUUUGUUUAUCUUGGUGGAAAUUGGUGAAUCGUCAUUCACCUACCUUCAAAUAUUUUAUAGCUUGGAUUACGGCAUCCCUCUUCCAAAUUAUAUAAUAGUUUGUUGGGUCCUAGCCUUAAUAUUUCAUAUUGGGUGUUAUAUUAAGGACUUAAAUCAACUUUACUUGAAUUUCUCCCAUUGUUGAUGUCUAGUUUAGAAAACAAUGAUCUUCCCAUACCAAGCUUUCCUAAUGAAUAUGACUUCCCAAGUUUGGCUCAUGGAAAUCAUACUUCUCUUCCUCCACCUUCUUCAAUUAUUCUCCCUGACCCAUAAACUCAAAGACUUGAAUAGUUCAAGAUCACUCAAUCCUUAUCCACAAUGAAAAAUAAAGGUGGAAGUCCUAUGUGCACUCAUGUAUUAGGACUAAAGUCACAAACUGACAGAUUAAGAAUGUUGGGUGUCGUUGUCCUAAGGAAGUUGGCUAUUGACUAGGUCUUUCAGUCACUUCCUGAGUCAUAUAGAAAGAUUACUAUGUGACAGGUCACAACAUGACCCUAAUGAAACUUUCUUAUUUGCUUAUUGCUACUGAAUCAGAAAUGAUUUGGUGCAAUAGUCAAGCAAAUAUGGAUGGAAAGUCUAUUUCUCAAACUUCCAUGGACAUGGACAAUGGUAACAUUGGAAGUCCAGAAAAACUUUCUCUUCCCAAUGGAAAGGGAUCAGCCUUAGUCAACCCGGUUGACCGGAAGGUAAAGAGAAAGUCUUAGUCUGGAAUAGCCUUUUGUACCAUUCCCGAAGAGUCUAUAUGUUUUCAUUAUGAAGAAAAGGGGAAUUAGAAGCGAAGCUGCCCAAGCUACCUGAAAGAAAGAGGAAUCAAAAAGUUUGACUUUGCUUCAGGUAAGUCCACUAUGUAACUCUGUUAAGUUCCCAGUUGAUGAUUCUUAAUACAAAAUGUGACUUGGUUGCAUUUUGAUAUUUAGCAUGAUCAAGCAAAGGGAAGGAAACUUAAAGAAAACAGUAUGUUGAAUCUGAUCGCAAAAAUGGAUUUCAAUCGCUUGGUUGAAGAUUGGAUUAUUGAGCUACUUUUAGGAGUUAUGAUAAAUUGCUAGGAAACAUGUAAUAACAUAGUUUUCAUUUCAAGUUGCAUUGUAAGGAAAAGGUUUUUCGCAUUUUUAUAAAUAAAUAAAAGUUUACUUUAUAUCUCCUUGCAAUGGCAUUUAUGAAAACUUGAUGUUUGUAUGUUUCUAGUAAUAUAGGAAAUAUGAAUUUGAUUCUUUCGUUUGUGGUAGUGUCUAAAUUUACCAAAUAAGGAAAGAUUCUCAUCACCCAAGUUUCAAUUGGACCGAAACUUGGAAUCAUACAAGUUGUAUAGUAUGAUGUAUGAGAAGUUUCAUUUUGGAAAAUUAGGACUAGUUCCUUGUUCACAUGUAUAUGUGACUGAAUAGAAGGACUAAGGGAUCAAGUACACAUUCUUGUGCACUAGCCAAAGUUCACCAUAAAAGAUGGAUAAGACUAUUCGUCAUGAUUUACUAAGGUUUAGUAAAUAUGAUUAUACUUACAAGCUUAAGUAUACUUCUGAGACAUUGGAAAAGUUCCAAAUGUAUGGCAAAGCGAAUAAGAAUAAUCAAAUUAGGCAAAAGGAUAAAAGUUUCUCAAAUCUGAAAAGAUGGGAGAGUACUUUAGUAUCAUGUAUAUAUGAUCAUCUUAAUGAUUAAGAGACCUUAUCACAAUUCAUCCUCUAAGUGCAUUCUGAUAGCUAAGAAGAGGAGUCGUGAAUUGUUGAAGUGGUUAAAUUAAGAAGAUGAGUCAUACUUCAUUCCAAAACAAAUCUUGGAGUCAUACUCCAAGAUUGUAACUUGAGUGACAUAUCUUAAAGAAGGUUUAUAACACUUGUUAAACGUAAGAGUAAAAGUUUUCUACUCUUGUACAUUUGAAAUUGGUAAGUUGUGAUGUUUUGGAUAAAUCAAAGACCAACUAAGGCCAAUUGUGUGAAGUGUUAGUCUUGAUUAGAAUCCACACUAUUUCCUUGAAUAUUUGGCAAGCAAGUCUUAUAGGUCUAGAAGACAUUGGGAGUCUAACAGAUCUUGAUAUAGUUUCAAGAACUAAUCAAGUAUAAAACAUGUAUUUCAUCACUAGCACACAACUAGAGGUUUAUAACCUAUUGUGUUGAUAUUUCUAUGCUCAUUCCAGUUAAGUUGGCUAGAACAUUUGAGUUCUACAUGUUCUCAAUUGUUUGCAUAACUACUUGGAAGCAAUGGCAGGCCCUUGUGCUGCCAGGUGGCAAGAAGUUAAGAUUGCACAAGUUCAAUCCAUAUGAGAUAGGAUUUGUCACUAACCUACUCUUGUGAUUAUGGUUUUGACAAAUUCACGUGGAUAAGAACACAUACACCAUAAAAUCUAAGGGUCAUAAGGUUUCUCUCCGAUUCAUGAAAAUGAUGGUGAGGAAACACUUCCACCAAGUAGAUUUUAAGUAAGAUAGCAAUUGUAAUCUUUGCAUUCUUAAAGUUGUUAGUGGAGCGUGCAUGGUUAUCCGACACACUAACAUGGACUUUUGAGAAAUGGCAAAAGUCUAAACAAUUGAGACUAUGAUUACGACAUCCCUUUUCAUAGUUAUGAAAUUGUUUAGACACACCUGUGAGUUAUCUAAAAUAAGGUGUAUGAUUUUGAUAAAGUCUUAUCAAAGCAAUCUAGUAUCAGAAAUCUGAACUUUGGUAAGAAAGUCAAUAAAGUAUUAACUUCUAGAAGUCCAACUGUUUUUUGGAUACAUGUCAAAGCUAGUAGGAGCAUAAUUGUUAUGCUAAUAAUCAUCAUGUUAGUGGGAGCAUGAUAAUUAUGAUAAGUAUUGCAAGUUAGCAAUGUUAAUUAUAGAAAACAAAAGUUUCAAUUCGUGAAGUUGCAGGGGUUGAAAAAGUUUUUUUUGCUAUAAUUAAGGAAGGGGAUAUACUUCAUUUCAGUUCUAAAGGCUUAGAUUGAGACCUUAAUCAUCUUUAGUCAAGAAUGUAUAUAUAUGAAUUUCAUGUUGGAUUGGUUCAACUUAAGGAAAUUCUAUAUAUUGCGUUCUCAAAAUUCGAUUAUGAUUACGACAUCCCUCUUCAUAGUCAAAUUUUUGAGAACAUGGCAAAUAAAAAUAUUGUAGCAAAAGACUGGUCUAGAAUCAUGUCUUUAUGUGAGACAUCAUGAAUCGUGUCCCAUUUGCUUUGGGUACAAGAUCGAUUACAUNUUCAUCCGUUCUAAAAUUUUCCAAAUGCCUGGGGCAUUAAGAAGGGAAAAGGUUUAGAACUGGAUAUGACUAAAAGGAUUAAACAAUUGUCGAGGACAAUCUAAGGUUUACCAAAGAUUGGUUGCUCAAGGACAAUUGGAAGUAUAGUGAUAAUUCUGGAAGGACCAUAUUGACAUAAUCUGUAAGGAGGCAACUCUUGUUCAGAAGUGAUAGUCAAAAUGGAAUCUGGAAAUGUUUCAAAGUUAGAAUUUUCAAUCUGUGUAAGAUUAAGGAAACUUAAUGCAAGAAGGAUAUUUCCAAGGAGUUGAUCUCCUUUGGAAUACUCUGUAAUGAUUGUUGUCAAGUCUUUAUGACUUUGUGCAUAAUCAUUACGAGAGGAUCAAUGCAUAUAAGUUUAGAAUCUAACAGAUUUCAGUAAAUGGCAUGAAUUUGGAAUUCUUGCAUUUGCGGUAAGGAUUUGGGAGUGUGAAAAGAGAAUCAUUGAAGUUAUGUUCAAU
rnacentral:lncRNA from 1 species